rnacentral:lncRNA from 1 species
GGAUUUGAGAAACAUAUUGCGGGUAUCAAAAAAUGGUAACAUCUACAGGACAAUUACAGUUGCAUGUCUAUCAAUAUUUAUCUUGUUUCCUCUCAAAAAGUUGGAUUUACAGCUCCUAGCGCGGAAUGAACUGGUGAAUUUGUUUUUCAUCUGAAACAAUUGAUAUAUUGUUUAACUAAACAUUUCUCAAGAGAGGCCAACUUUUUCUGAUGAUAUCACCAAUCUUCGCAUCGAUCUGCUUCUGAAUGUGAGGUGGGCAAACCCCAGUCUGCAAAACUGUUCAAUCUUGCAGCCAAACUUGAUUUCUGAAGUUCCUCUUCAGGCAGGUUUCCCAUCAGCUGGAUGAGGAGUGGUUUCUGCUUGAGCUCGAAUUUCUGCAUAUUUCAUGGUAUGGGAAUUCUUGUCAGAAAUGCUGGUGAGAAGAGACCAUUUCCAGUUCCUUGUGACCAACAAAAGUGCCAGCCGGUACAAUUGAAAAUUCAUAUGGAGUGCAUGCAUUUCUCAGGCGACAAGCUGAAGAUUUCAGAGAUGUCUGCAAUAUGCAUUAUAAUUGCAAGGCAAAACCAAAUUAAAUAACUAGAAGAGCCAUAACAUGCUGCAGAGGAGCCAAGGAAACAACCUUUCUACUUGACCACAACAGAUCUGGUUUGACAAUUCGGGGCAUCAACCUAAGCAAAUUAAUACACAGGUGGACCUUUUUUCUCUUUCAACAGAACUAGCAGCAAAGUACUUCCUUACCCAUCAAAAACACCUAGAAUAUUUCACAGAUCAUUAUCAUGGCAAAUCAAGACAAAUCAAAAUAGUUGGAAGCACGAAAUCCCCUAGUCAUUUCCCGUCCUCUGAAGGAAUUUUCGUUCCACGCACGGAAUGAAUUACUAGUAACAUAUUUGGAUUGCAGGUAUUUAUGUAGCAUUUGGCUGAGGGAACACAUCAGUAGCAGCCCGCAAUGAAUAAGGGACCGUUCUAAAUAUGGAAAGUUCUUCAACCUCACUCGUUGUCAGUCGAGUCAACACAAAGUGAGGACACAAUGUAAUGAGAGAUGAGGCAGGAACAAGUUCAGAAUUACGUAUUCGGACAUACCCACUUGAUAAUCGGCCAAUUAAUAUUCUCACCCAUUGAGUUAAUGAUGACUGGUGAAUUCAAUUUUCUGAUAGGCACACUGUAAAGUAAUAAUGUGCGGUUCCCAAUUACUUAACCUGAUGUUCAGGCUCUGCAUGAUAAAAUGCUUCAAGAUGUUGAAUCUGAGUAGUGACAACACUGCUCUUGGACUUGCUUUGCUCUCUUUCUUUGCUAAGGGCUGCUAGCCUGGACUCUUCAGUUCCAUUUGUGAAGAUAAUUGACCUGACAACACAAUUCCAUCAGUAAAUAUUCAGUAGACACAAAGCAACAGACCACACAUCCUAAUUCUGAUAAACAGGAAAACUUUCGAUGCAAAUAAUUGCCGUCACCUGUACUGGUUACCAACAUCUGGACUUUGCCCAAGAACUUGCCUUGAAUCAUGACUAGACCAAAAGACAUCCAAAAGUUGCCUGUAACUAAUCAAUCUAGGAUCAUAUUCCACCUGUGGAGCAGCAUUCACAAAAACAAAGAAAGAACGAGUAAAUAUCAAUACCAACUAGCAAUAUUCUUGUCAUUUAAAAGAUUAUGUUCCGAUUUCAAGAACAAAAAACCAUGGACAUACUUAAGUCUAGAAACUCUCUUGCUCAAAAGAGAGGACUUAUAGAUGAAACUUUCUCACCACCCUCCUCCUUCCCACUCCCCAAAAGGAAAAAGAAAAGCGACAAAAGGCAAAAGAAAGGGGAGUGUCAAAACAAUGCCUUUUUUUAUUAUAUAGAAUCUCAGUUUGAAUCCCGAUUUACCCCUCCAUGCUAACGGGGGUUCACAUCCAAAAUCAGCUUCUGCUUGCUCAAAUCCUAACCUCUUAUAUGCCCUAUGUCCCCAACAAAAUUUUCAUCAUAUAAGGACGACUUGUGACGAGCUUGGCAUUUGCACAAGUAACUUUGACAAGCCUCCUGACCUCCUUUAAAGAAACAUUAGCAGCCCAAGAUGCAUCAAUCCAAAAUGAUUGACCUGCAUAAAUCAGACUGAUCCUCAGAGGAAAGCGGAGGAUGAAUCCAGCAUCUUUCACCUAAUUAGCAAAUCACAAAUGACGAAAAUGCAAACUUACAGGAUCAAACAUUCGAUAUCACCUCUCUCUACGUCUUAUGUCCAAUCAACCACCGUGCAAUCUUUCACCCUUUUCACUGACUCGAAACUCUGACGUUUCAUCAAGACAAAGCUGAAAGUACCACCUCGCAGUGGCAUCUAAUGCUUAAUGCCGGAUGACCAUAGUGAACAGUGUCCUCGACUAUUAGGAAGAAAUUCUAAGAGUCAUGCUAAUAAAGGUGCAAGGAAACAACAAUGCGAAGGGCAGGAUUCUUAAACCAAAAGAAACAACAACAAUGGCAUCCACACUAGUUGACAAUGAUAGCUAAGCACCUCCGAUCAUUGAAACUACAAACUCAGUCGGUAGCACCGUCAGCCUCCGAUCUGUACAAUCCCUGUUGGAGAAAACUUCCUUGCGUGUUUUGAAGCUGACAAAACAUUUCCAUCAGUCUAGUCUGAAGACUUCGGACUCUUUCGUCAAAGUCUGAAGAUUGCUGGACCGCCAGACUCAAGAUUCAAAGUCUAUCCUCAUUGACAGUUUCUAGACCGUCGAAGAAGACUUAUCCAGAAUUGAGUAUUUCUUUAAGGAUUUGAUUCUAUCGACUAAAGAAGAUCUCUCGGCUGGAUAUAGCAUCUCGGAAUCCAUUAUUUAUCUUGAGAUUGAUUCAGGCAUUUUGGAUCCAUUGAUUGACGAAGUAUACUUGGAAAGUUCUACUUAUAGAAACCUAGAUCCUGAUUGUAUGAGCGAGCAGAAUUGGUGGGCUAUCGUCAUAUUCCUUAAAUAACUCGAAAUCUCCCUAAUUGAUUCUGUCCAACGGGUAGAUUGGAAGAGCUCCUUUGGUAAGUGUCAACGGUUGUGAUGGCAUGGAGGAGUAUAUAAGGAAGACGUUCUAGUUAUUCAAAUGUGUGCGCGAUAGAGAAAUUCCAAAGUAUGAAGCUUCUUAUUCUUUGUAUAUUCAAUUGUUGAGCGUGAACUUGUACUCAAAAGAGAGUUUAUACUUCUGUAAGACCUUGAGAAAGUGUAGCAGAGUCUCUAUACUGUGGAAUCAAGGAAGAGCUAUAUUGUAACAACUCUUUUGAUUCUUAGUGAAAUCCAACCGGUUGGCUGUCAGUGCGAAAAAGUGGACGUAGGCUUGGAUUAAGCCGAACCACUAUAAACCUUGUGUUCUUAUUCUCUUCCCUAAGCUCUUUUACUUUGAUCGUAACUCUAUCUGAUUAUUAGAGUCUAAUUUCCUUUUCAUAAUCUAUUGCUAAAUAGAGUUGGUUUAAAAGCAAAAUUUAUACUUUACUCUGCAAAAUUUGUUUUCGCACAUAUUCACCCCCUCUAGGUGCUCGUACUAGCUUUUACAAUUGGUAUCAGUGCAUGUGUACUAAUUUAAGUUGAAGUGUUUUUACUUCAAAGUUAAUGAUCCAUGGCUAGUAUGUUGGCUCUAGGUCUGGUUGAAGGGCAAAGUAACACCAGACCGCCUUAUUUUGAUGGAAAUGAAUACAUCAUAUGGAAAAACAAGAUGAAGGCAUUCUUAAGAUCAAAAGAUCCUCUGGAAUGGGACGUGAUAGGCAAAGGAAUCAUUCCUAAAGCUGCAACAGUCUCAGAAAGAGGAAAAUAAGCUGUUGAGUCCAGUGAAAUGACUCUAGAAGAAAUAACCAAGAGACAAGCUCUUGAUGCAAAAGCAAUUUAUUCCUUAUAUUGUGUAUUAUCUCCUACUGAUUAUAACAUAAUGUCUUCUUGUGAAACAACUAAAGAAGUCUGUGAUAGAUUGCACUUCACCUAUGAAGGAACAUAUCGAGUGAAGGAAACUAGAAUCAAUAUUCUGCUUGGUCAAUAUGAAGCAUUCAAGAUGAAACCAGGAGAAUCUAUCACUGACAUGUUUAGUCAUUUUACAGAAAUCGUGAAUGGUCUUGAGUAUCAAGGUCAACCAAUCUCUGGACCCAUGAAGGUUAACAAGUUACUGCGUGGACUUUCCAAAGAUUAGAAUCACAUAAAGACCUCAAUAAGGGAGACUCAAAGAAUCAUGCCACUUUCUGUUGACGAAUUGGUUGGCACUCUUCAGUCUUAUGAAGUAGAGCAAAUCAACGAAGAUGAAGAUCCCAAAGGUAAAAAAAUCUAUUGCAUUAAAAUCUAAUAAUGAUUAUGAUGUCACAGAUUUUGAAGACGAUAUGGACGAUAAAGAGUUUGCUCUCAUGAUAAGAAGGUUCAAAAAACUGAAUAGAAAAGGAAGAAAAUUCAAUCCAAAGAAACAAAAUUCUCAAAAGUUACAGAAUAAAUCAAUUGAGGAUGAUGAAUCCAACAAGGAUGUAAUCUGCUUUGAAAACAAGAAAAAGGGAUACAUUAGACCCAACUGUUCCUUACUGAAGAGAAAAAAAAAGGAAAAGCUGAGAAAUACCGAAAAGUUCUUAAAGCAGAAAUUUGGAGUGAUACCGAAUGUGAAGAAAGUGAUGAUGAUUAUGUCAAUAUUUGUCUUAUGGCACAAUCAGAAUCAGAUUCAGACUCUGAGACAGACUCAGAUUUAGAUAGUGAAAUCGAGGUAAGUAAUUUAAAAAUUCCUACUAAAGUCUCUAAGUAUAUUAAUGAAUUGUGUCUUAGUCUCAAAACCUCUCUCAAGAGGAUUUCCGAACUGAAAAGAGAAAAUUCUGUACUAAAGCAACAGGAGAUUCUUUGGAAAGAAAAUGUUGAAAAUUUAGAUAAAAGUGUUACUACUUUGAAAGAAAAUGCAGACUAUCUUUCAAAAGAAAAUGCAUUUUUGAAAAAUGAUAUCUCAAGUAUUUCCAAAAGGUUUUCUAUAGGAUUUGAGAAAUUAGAAAAUAUUCUUUAAGCACAAAGAGCUUACUUUAACAAAUCAGGUUUGGGAAUGACUGCUGAAACCAUUCCUUUAAUUGAUUUUCCUAAAGUAAAAGAAAUAAUUAAACAAAGACCUACAAAAGAUUCGUAUAGAAAUCAUUUCCAAAAAGUUUUUGUAAAACUUGUAGGCCGCAGUGCUCUCAAAUGUUCUCAGUGCAACAACUUAGAACGUUUUGAGAAAGAUUGUCCUAUGGUUUGUAAACCCGCGAGGAAGGUUUGGGCAAAGACAGUAUAUCACACUAACUCCAUUGGACUCGAGAAAGUAUGGGUACCAAAGAAAGCUUGAGUUUCUUUUUAAAAUGCGGGUCACUAUCAAGAAAAAGAUUAAAUGGUACUUGGAUAGUGGAUGCUCAAGACACAUGACAGGAUACUCAAAUUACUUCAUAAAGUUUAUACAAUUUAAUGGUGGAAAAGUUUCUUUUGGAGGAAAUAGCAAAGGCAGAAAUGUGGGAUACGGAACCAUAAAUAUUAGAAGUCUCACGAUCAAUAACGUUUCCUUAGUGGAAGGACUCAACUACAACUUACUGAGUAUCAGCCAGUUGUGCGACAUAGGAUUCAAAAUCAACUUUCAAGAAGGAAUAUGUUCAGGAACCAGUAAAGACUCCUCUCAAACUUUCACGGGGCGAAGACAUGGGAAUAUCUAUCUCUUGGAUAUCAAACCAGAAAAAUCCCAAUGUCUAAUCUCAAUUCAAGAGGAAGCAAAUCUAUGGCACAGAAAACUUGGGCACAUAAACAUGAAGCAAAUAGCCAAGAUCUCUACAAAAAGACUUGUUCGUGGAUUACCCAAAUUGACAUAUCAAAAGUUUGAUCUAUGCACACCAUGCGUGUUGGGAAAAUAGGUAAGAAAUUCAUCAAACCAAUAAAUCAAGUGUCCACUAAUCGUGCUCUUGCAUAUGGAUCUCUUUGGACCAACCACAACUCAGAGCAUUGGAGGUAAGAAAUAUUGCCUAGUAAUAGUGGAUGAUUAUUCACGAUUCACUUGGGUAUAUUUCCUGGCAAGUAAGUUUGAAACCUUUUCAUAAUUUAUAAAAUUUGCUAAGAAAGUUCAAAAUGAUAAAGUGUAUGUUAUUUUAAAUAUAAGGACAGACCAUAGAGGUGAGUUUGAAAAUCAAGACUUUGCUAAAUUCUAUGAUGAAUCUGGCUUUCAACAUGUGUUCUCCUCACCAUACACUCCAGAGCAGAAUUGAGUUGUGGAAAGGAAGAAUAGAUCGCUCUAGGAAAUGGCUAGAACUCUUUUAAUUGAAAGUAACAUUUCUUCUCGUUUUUGGGCUGAAGCAGUUUCUACAGCGUGCUAUAUUAUCAAUAGAGUCUUCUUAAGGCCUAUUCUGGAGAAAACUCCCUAUGAGUUGUUCAAAGGAAAGAAGCCAAUUGUUUCCUAUUUUCAUGUGUUUGGAUGCAAAUAUUUUAUAUUGAAAAAUGCAAAUGAUCAAAUUGGUAAGUUUGAAGAAAAAUCAAAUGAAGGCAUCUUCCUUGGAUAUUCAACCACUAGCAAAGUUUACAGAGUAUACAACAAAAAGAUUCAAUCUGUGGAGAAAUCGAUGAAUGUCAAAUUUCAAGACUUUGUACAAAAUCAAUUGAUUCAGACUCAACCAGAAGAAUCUGAACCUGCUCUAGACUCUACAAAGUCUAAACCUCAAGAAGCAGCUCAGACUUCAGAGGACUAGCAACAAAUAAUCACUGAAGAAUCAAAUGAAGAAAAAGAUCAACAGUCUGAUAAGCCAACCAGCAACUGGAAGCACAAGUCUAGUCAUCCCAAAGAACUCAUUAUUGGUAACAUUAAUGAAGAAAUUCGUACAAGAUCCAAAAAGCGUGAAGAGUCUAGUGCUGUAGCUCUUAUCUCUAAAACAUAGCCCAAGAGCAUAGAAAAAGCUUUAACUGAUGAAAGCUGGAUUAAAGCUAUGCAAGAAGAACUCAUGCAAUUUAGUAUCAAUGAUGUCUGGGAAUUGACUCAUAAACCAAAAGGUAAAUCAAUCAUUGAAGCUAAAUGGAUUUUUAGGAACAAGAUGAACGAGAAAGGAAAAGUUAUAAGACACAGAGCAAGACUCGUGGUCAAAGGAUAUACGCAAGAAGAAGGGAUAAAUUAUGAUGAGGCUUAUGCACCAGUAGCAAGGUUAGAAGCAAUUAGAUUAUUACUUGCUUUUGCUUGUUAUAAGAAUUUCAGGUUAUUCCAAAUGAACGUCAAAAGCGCUUUCCUAAAUGGAUUUAUCCAAGAGGAAGUCUAUGUGGAACAACCUCCCAGUUUUGAAGACCCAAGGAAACCAGACUUUGUAUUCAGACUAAAAAAGGCUCUGUAUGGUUUAAAGCAAGCACCUCAAGCUUGAUACGACAGGUUAAGUAAGUUUUUAAUUCAAAAUGGUUUUGUUAAAGGUAAAGUAGACACUACCCUAUUUAUCAAAAGAGAAAGCAAAAACUUCUUAUUUGUUCAAAUUUAUGUUGAUGAUAUUAUUUUUGGAUCUCCUAAUGAAAAUCUAUGCAAGAAAUUCUCUAAGUCUAUGCAGGAUGAAUUUGAAAUGAGCAUGAUGGGUGAACUAACAUUCUUUCUCGGGUUUCAAGUGAAACAAUUGAAGGAGGAAACUUUUAUUCACCAAGAAAAAUAUGCUAAAGAACUUGUCAAAAAGUUUGGACUGGAGAAUUGCAAAAAGACUGAUAUACUAAUGUCAAGUUCCUUGAAGCUGGACAAAGAUGAAGGAGGAAAGAAAGUAGACCAGAAGCUAUACAAGAGUAUCAUUAGUUCACUUCUUUAUCUUACUGCUUCUAGACCUGACAUUCUGUUUGGUGUUUGUAUUUGUGCCAGAUUUCAAUUAGACCCUAAAGAAUCUCAUUUUAGUACUGCUAAACGUAUCAUCAAAUACGUUGCUUCAACCUUUAAUUUAGGUCUAUGGUAUCCUAAAGAAUGAGACUUUACUCUCCUUGGAUAUUCAGACGCAGACCUAGCAUGUUGUAGUGUUGAUAGAAAGAGCACCUCAAGAACCUGUCAAUUGCUUGGUAACAGGACAGUAUCUUGGUUUUCGAGGAAGCAAAGUACCGUAGCUCUUUCUAAAGCAGAAGCGGAGUAUAUGGCUCUUGGAAGUUAUUGUUCACAAAUUUUGUGGAUAAAACAACAGUUAAGAGACUUUGGAAUUGAAGAUUCAUGCACUGAGAUCAAAUGUGACAACAUAGCGCGAUCAAUCUCACCAAAAAUCCAAUUCUUCAUUCAAGAGCAAAGCAUAUAGAGAUUCGAUAUCAUUUCAUUAGAAAUCAUGUGCAAAAUGGAGAAGUCUCGAUUCAGUUCAUUGACUCAAAUAAUCAACUGGCGGACAUUUUACAAAGCCUUUGGAGAAAAGUCAAUUUGAAUUUAUUCGUUCCAGACUCAAUAUUUUAAAGUUUGAAGAAGUUUAAAGUUUGAAGAAGUUCAGACUCAGGGCUAAAAAGUCAUAAGAUACUCAGACUCAGAAGAUCGAGAAUCACGACUGUAACUUAUUUAUGUUUAUCUCGGAUAAAAUCUCAAAAAGGUACGUUCAUCUAUUAAUUUGUAAUUGAUUGAUGUUAUCUUCCCCAGUUUUCGUGAUUAUUGCAAUCAUUCCUUUUCGAAAAAGAAGUUAUCUGUUAAGAUGACGGUUAUCUAUUUUUUUUAAAAGGUAGUUAUUUUUUGAAAAUGCAUUUUUGUAUUUUUCUUUUUUACGUCAUUCUGUAUGCCUUGUUUUGACUGCUUUAUAUACAGUUGUUUUUUUCUCCAUUUUACUCACAAAACCCUAAGAAAGCACAGAUCUUCAACUUCUAUUUUCUUCUCUUGUUUAAUCCUCGAAAAGUUUUAACCUUUCUUGCGAAACAAGCUUGGAAUCCCUCAAAAACUGUGAAGAAUGUCAUUCCAAAGAAAGUCUUCAAGGAUCGCGAACAGGGGACCACAACAAAUGCGUGAGGGUCCUACGCAUUUUGACCUCGUCGAGGAAGAAGCAUCUCCUAGACAGCAGCAAAGCCCACAACAUUCUCAACAGCGUCCAUCUCCUCCAUCUAGACCUCAGGAUAUUGAUCAUCGAGCAGAGGAAGAAAUCAUUGAAGAUGCAGAACCCGUAAGAACUCAAAAGCCCGCUUUUAUUUUUAAGCUUUACUCUGCCUUGAAGAAGGGUGGUACUCCCUUGAAAUAUAUUGAAGAAUUCUUAAAAGAGAAAGGGUAUCCAAAUGAAACCCACUUUUUACGCAUAAUUGAACGAUUGGGAAUUGCUCCUGCGGGGUCAGCAGAAGAAGCUUUUGCAAAUAUCCCAAGCGAUCCGCAUGUUGGAGGGCUAAGUCAACCUGAUGGGAAUGAUGAUGAUAAGAUGUACACUUAUUUUAAGCCUAGAAUGGGUGUUGCAGCGAAUAUUCGAAGCAAUAGAACGGAUUUGUUUCGCUCGGAGGAACACACGCGACUUUACUCUAAGUUGCUAAAGCGAGGGGUGAUCAACUCUAGAAGUGUGGAUUUUGAUUUUCUUGAUUCUCUGAAUGUCAAGUUGCGAGAAAAAUUCACUCUUCUUCAACUAGAACGGUUUUGUUUUGAGACGACAGAGGCUCAUGCUGAACUCACUGCUUACUUCUAUUCUAAUCUAAGUUUCUUGGAUGCGAAUAGAUUCUCAUUUAGUGUUCGAGAUCAGAACUAUGUAGUUGACAUGGACACAUUGGCUGAUGUGAUUGGGGUAGAAAGAGGGAAAUUCCAAUCAAUUAAUAUGUCUAUUGGAUGUGCGACGGUAGAGCUUGUUCGGGAGGGAAUGGCGGAAGGACGAAUUUCAUAUUUGAGGAUGAAUGCCUCCAAUAUUUUACUUCAUAAGAUAGUGAUCAACUGCCUCAGACCCAAAUCGACUUUGAAGACUGAUGUUUCAAACUCGAAUGCAAAGCUGAUGUAUGCCUUUAACACUGGCAAAAAGUUCUCUCUUCCACACACUAUCAUGUUCCAUAUAUACAGAACGGUGGUGAAAGACAAGGACCAACUUCCUUACUCAGCACUUGUCACUAAGUUAUUCAGACAUUUGAAUAUUCAGCCUCCUAGGAUUCUAUGUAUUCGAACCUGCGAUCAAAUGGUGGUGGGACUGAAAAUGGUUUCCAAAAUGCGUCUUAAGGAACUUAACAAAGCUUUGGAGCGAUUCAAGGAGAAAACCCCUGUCAAGACUCACCCAGUCUCUUCAGCUGCAAAACGGAAAGGGAAGGAGCCCAUGAUUGCUCCAUCCAGGAAAAGAAGAGCACUCAUCUUGGAGGAUGAAGAAGAUGAGGAAGAUAUUACCAUUUCUGCACUUAAAAGCUUACAUCGUUCCGUUCCAGAGACAGAGGAGAGACAAGAUCAAGAUAGAGAAGAGUCAGAUCAAAGAAGUGGAGAAAGAGAAUCGUUGAGAAAAGAAGCAGAGAAAGAAAGGACUGCAGAAGAAGAAGAAGAAGAAGAAGGCAGAGGUGAACAAGAGGAAACAAAGCAUGAAGAGUACUUCUCACCGCCUGAAGGCAAUGAAACAAGGGGAGUUACUGAGAAAAGAUGUACAUCUUCAAUUGCUUUUACUAGUGAAGAUGUUAGUCGUUCACCUGCAGAUCCAGAAGACAUCUAUGUCUCUCAAUUCCCUGAGGAAGGUCAUGAGGUUUCAUCGCCAAGUCUUGGUGCUCAUACAGAAAUGCCAUCAUCUGCUAAUAUACCUCAAACUGAUCAUGUAGAGGCCAGUACUCAGACUGAUAAUACAGUAGACUUUCGCAGAGUACUUGAUGUUCUUAUGAAAAUGCGAGGGCAAAUUUAUGCCCUGGGAUGCGAAGUUCAAAAUUUGUAGAAUGCAGGUCAAGCCUCUUCAGUUUCCUUGCAUGAUCAAAUUCAUGCCCUUGCUCUUCAAGUUCAAGCUAAUGCCAAGGGUGAAGAAAUGACUCAAUUGAAGGAGGACUUGAAAAAGCUAGAAGAGAUUGUCUAGUCAAUGGGAGAUUUCCAGCUUGUUCACGUUCCAAAGCAAUCCUAAUUCCAUUCUCUUUUCGUCUCUGCCUUUUUCAUGCUGACAAAAAGGGGGAGAUAUGUUGCAAAUUUGAGAUUUAACUCUUGACUUUUUGAUUGACUUUGACUUUACUUUUGUUUGGUUAUGGUUGUGACUGGUAUGUGAUUAUGACUUGAUUGAAUUUGGAUUGUUUGAUCAUUUAAAUGUUUACUGCAGUAUCUUAAGCAUUGUGGGUAUUUCAUGACAGAGAUAGUUGUUUACAGGACUAACUUGUUUCCUGCGGAUGCAGAUUUAAUGCUGUCUUUACUAAGCCAAUUACCUUUUGUGAGAUAUCCAUGUUUGCUUGAGUAUUGUCUUACAGGUCAAAGAUAUCCAAAUCUACGGGAAAGUUUUGUCACCAUAAAAAAGAGGGAGAUUGUUGGAGAAAACUUCCUUGCAUAUUUUGAAGCUAAAAAAACAUUUUCAUCAGUUUAGUCUGAAGACUUCAGACUCUUUCGUCAAAGUCUGAAGAUUGCUGGACCGCCAGACUCAAGAUUCAAAGUCUAUCCUCAUUGACAGUUUCUAGACCGUCGAAGAAGACUUAUCCAGAAUUGAGUAUUUCUUUAAGGAUUUGAUUCUAUCGACUAAAGAAGAUCUCUCGGCUGGAUAUAGCAUCUCGGAAUCCAUUAUUUAUCUUGAGAUUGAUUCAGGCAUUUUGGAUCCAUUGAUUGACGAAGUAUACUUGGAAAGUUCUACUUAUAGAAACCUAGAUCCUGAUUGUAUGAGCGAGCAGAAUUGGUGGGCUAUCGUCAUAUUCCUUAAAUAACUCGAAAUCUCCCUAAUUGAUUCUGUCCAACGGGUAGAUUGGAAGAGCUCCUUUGGUAAGUGUCAACGGUUGUGAUGGCAUGGAGGAGUAUAUAAGGAAGACAUUCUAGUUAUUCAAAUGUGUGCGCGAUAGAGAAAUUCCAAAGUCUGAAGCUUCUUAUUCUUUGUAUAUUCAAUUGUUGAGCGUGAACUUGUACUCAAAAGAGAGUUUAUACUUCUGUGAGACCUUGAGGAAGUGUAGCAAAGUCUCUACACUAUGGAAUUAAGGAAGAGCUAUACUGUAACAACUCUUUUGAUUCUUAGUGAAAUCCAGCCGAUGGGAUGUCAGUGCGAAAGAGUGGACGUAGGUUUGGAUUAAGCCGAACCACUAUAAACCUUGUGUUCUUAUUCUCUUCCCUAAGCUCUUUUACUUUGAUCGUAACUCUAUUUGAUUAUUAGAGUCUAAAUUCCUUUUCAUAAUCUAUUGUUAAACAGAGUUGGUUUAAAAGAAAAAUUUGUACUUUACUCUGCAAAAUUUGUUUUCGCACCUAUUCACCCCCUCUAGGUGCUCGUACUAGCUUUUACAAUCCCAACAUUCUUCCGUCUCCUAUUUGUCAGAAGUUUGGAUAGAGAGUAAAGUUUGAAAUUCUCUUCUAUAUCAUUCAUGUGUAUAAUUACAUCACCAUUUAUAAUACAAGAGAUCUAAAUCUAUAAGGAAGGAAAAUAUAUAAUAAAUCAAAUAAAAGAAUAUUCCCGCAAUCAAGAUCAUUUAAGAUCAAUUCCUAUCAGCACGAGAUCAAUUAAGACAACUAACCAUCAACAACCGUAUCUUCAACACUCCCCCUCAAGCUUGGCAGCCUAUACACAUCAAGGACACCUAGCUUGCUUAAUAGAUACGAAUGUUGCCUCUGACAUAAGGUUUUGGUAAAAAUGUCCACAGGCUGCUCUACUGUUCUUAUUCUUUUUUAACCGAUCACCCCACUUCGAAUCUUGUCUCGGAUGAAAUGACAGUCAACUUUUAUGUGCUUUGUCCUUUCAUGAAAAACUAAAUUCAUUGCCAGUUUAAGUGCAGCAUCGUUAUCACAGUAUAAGAUGGUGGGCUGAUUCACUUAUAUACCGAGAUCUUGUAGAAGGCCUCUUAUCCAGACUAUCUUGCAGCUAGUUUUUGCCAUCGCUCGAUAUUCCACCUCGGCGGAUGAUAAAGAAACAGUCGAUUGUUUCUUCGUCUUCCAUGAAAGUAGAGAAUCCCUUAACUUUAUACAGAAACCGAUAACAGAUUUUCUACUCAUAGGACAAGUAGCAUAAUCCGUGUCGCAAUAUGCUAACAUAUCCAUGUUAUUGUCUCGAGAUAACAAUAUUCCCAAUCCUAGACAUCCUUUCAAGUAUUUUAUAACUUUUAAUGCUGCAUUCAUGUGAGACUACUUUUGGAGCAUGCAUGAAUUGAUUGAGAGUUUGUACCGCAUAACAAAUGUCAGGUCUGGUCAUAGUCAAAUAGAUGAGUUUUCCAACAAGUCUUUGAUAAGCAGAGAGAUCCUUAAGUAAAGGGUCCUUGUUUACAGGUGACAAUCCUUUGUCAUAUUCAAACGUUGCCAACUUGACAUUCUGUUUGAUUGGAAUAACAGCUGGCUUGGAUCCCGACAAUCCUGCUUCCGAGAUAAUUUCCAAGACAAAUUUGCGUUAGUUAAGACAUAUGCCUUUAUUUGACCGUGCAAUUUCUAUCUUAAGAAAGUAUUUGGGAGAUCCCAAAUCCUUAAUGUGAAAUGUAGAAUGCAUGUAUUUCUUAACUCUAUCAAUGGCAGAUGCAUCAUUUCCCAUAAUGAGUAUAUCAUCCACAUUUAUGAGUAGGUAGAUCGACGAUGUACCUUGUUUCCAUGUGAAUAAAGCAUAGUCAUGCUUGGAUUGCUGGAACUUUGCAAUCACAAGUGCAUCAGUUGGCAUACCAUUGACGAGAAGCCUGUUUAAGGCCAUAUAGGGAUUUACGAAGACGACAUACAUUGUUCUCCCCCUGUCUACAAAAUCCUUGUGGAAGAUCCAUAUAAAUUUCAUCUUCGAGAUCGCCAAAAGCAUUGUGGACGUCCAUCUAAUGAGGAGGCCAAUCAUGUAGAGCAGCAAUAGAGAGGAAAGACCGCACUGUGACUUCCUUAGCAACAGGAGAGAAUGUUUCCGUAUAAUCAAAUCAUUCCAUUUGUGUGAAUCCCUUUGCAACUAAUCUGACUUUAUAAUGUUCAAUAGAUCCGUCCGCUUUGUAUUUGAUCUUGUAUACCCAUUUACAGCCUAUGGGUUUUCGAUGCGGAGGCAGGCGAACAAUAUCCCAAGUUUUAUUCUCCAUAAGGGCUCGCAAUUCAUCUUCCAUUGCCCAUUGCCAAUGAGGAUUUUUGGCUGCCUCAUCAUAUGAUGAAGGUUCCUGUUGCUUAGAAAUUUUGCUAAUGCAACACCUAUGUUCGGGCGAGAGAUGAACAAAACUAACAUAGGAGAAGAUGGGAUAAUGUGUACUGGAUUUGUGCAAAGAAGAGGAAACAUAAUCUAUUGUCCAUGUAGGUGGUUGAAUUGUGCGACCUAAUCGCCAAUGAUUAACUGGUACAGGUAGAUAAUCAUCCUGUGAUGCAAUAGGGGAAUUUCCUGCCGGAAUAGGCGAUUCUGGGGAAAUAGAUGCUUCAUUUUCAGGCCUUGCUUCAAUGUCAGGAAAUGUUGUAGAAGGUGACACUUGUGGAAGCAUAAUUACCGGUGCCUGUGGAGGAUCAUCUUCGCUUAAAAAAGGAUGAUGAGAUGUAGCAAGAUCAUCUUGUUGAUAAGAAGGUGAUUUAUCUUGAAAAGGAAAAAUAUCUUCAUGAAAAAUAACAUCUUUACUGACAAAAAAAAAGCCCACUGGAUGGAUCAAGUACUAAAUAUCCUUUAUGUUGAGUGGGAUAUCCCAUGAAUAUGCACUUCAGACCACGAGGACUCAACUUGUCCUGAGGACCCACGGUAGACACAUAGCAUAAGCAUCCAAAAACGCGAAGAUGUCGAAUGUCUAGACGUUUCCCAAAUAACAAUUCGAAAGGAGUCCUUCCAUUGAGAACAUGAGAUGGCAUCCGAUUGAUUAGAUAUGCUACUGUGACCACACAGUCUCCCCAAAACAUUUCUAGAAUUGAGGCUUGGUAUUUAAGAGCUUGGGCAACUUCUAGUAGAUGACGAUGUUUUCUUUCUACGAUCCCAUUUUGUUGGGGAGUAUAGACACAAGAACUUUCAUGAAGGAUUCCAUUGGAAAGGAAUAAUGAAGAGCAUUCAUGAUUAAAAAAUUCGUGAGCAUUAUCAGUGCGAAUCCAUUGUACAGAUUUAUUGAACUGAUUUUUAAUCAAAAUGAAGAAGUUCUUCAGAUUAGAAAGUACUUGGGCCUUGGAUUGCAUGAGAAAGACCUAAGUUGCUCUAGUAUGGUCAUCCACAUUUGUAAGAAAAAAAGAGAUCCAUCAUGAUGUGGAGUAUGAUAUGGUCCCCAGAUGUCCAUGUGUAAUAGUGCGAAAGCUUGAUUAGCACGUGAUGUGCUUUUCGGAAAAGGAAUUCGAGACUGUUUAACCAAUGGACAAAUAGGGCAUUUGGGAUGAGGAAAAGCGGCACUGUGGCCAAGACGCUGAUGAGAUAAAAAAAAUAUUUUUAUUAUUGUUUGCAUUACAUGAAAUGCUCUUACUUAAAGGAAAAGAUGCAAUAUCAAAGCUCUUUGGAAAAGUGUCCUAGAGCCCUCAUGAUUUCUACCCAAGCCCAUCAGUGUCCCAGUCGAAAGGGCCUAAAAGAGACAGAUGUCAGAAUCAAAAAAGACCUGACAGGAGUUGUCUUCACAAAGUCUAGACAUGGAAAUGAGGUUAAACUGGAAAUCAGGAAUGAAUAGAACAUUUUUGAGUUUGAUGGAAGAACUGAGUUGGACAUCCCCAAUUUUAGUAACUAAAGUGUCACUACCAUUUGGAAGACGACCAGAAGUAUGUGCCAAGGGCUUAUCAAUUUUGGAAAAGAAACGUUGAUCGCAGACUUUAUGAUCACUAGCACCUGAAUCAAUAAUCCAUGCUUUAUUGGAAAUAGUACUCAUUAAACAAUGGGAAAUAUCUGUAUAAUUGGUUGUCUAGUCCUGAAUUCCCAUUUGAUUUAAGGCCCUCAUAAUUUGUUGAAGUUGAUCAUUAUUGAAGGGCUAAUUGACCUUAGCAUUUGUUGCGACAGAAAAUUCCCGUUCCUUCUUAUCUGCCGGCUUCCCAUGUAAUUUCCAACAAUUUUCUUUAGUAUGAUAAGGCCGUUUGCAAUAAUCACAAAAUUUACCUUUUCCUUUGUUGGAAAUAGCUUUGUUGGAUGAUGUGGAAGAAUUCUGGCCAUUUGAUCCCUUCCAAGUAGGUACCGACAUGGCCAAUUUUGGGCCGUUCGAUCGCGGUGUAGCAAGGAUCAAAUGUGAGCUGUCUGAUUUUGCUUAAAGCCCUCCACCAUUGGAUCCAAGGAAUGAAUCUCGGCCACUCAUUUGUCUCCCAUAUCCUUGGCCGUCGAAUCUCCCAAAUAAAUAUUGGUCGUUGGCUUGAGAUUGAAAAAAGACUUCAUCUUCUUCCUCGUGAAACCCUAGCAUCCUGCCUGGGUUUCGUGGGGGACCUCCAUGAUUGUGCAUCGCUGCAGCCAAUCGUUGCUCCGGUGAAGCAUUGGCCACAAGGAUGACUUGGUCACCUAUUUUGACAUACUCCAACGACGCCAACCGUUGAGAUUCCUCUUGAACAGCAAGCUGGUAUAUGCGACUGUUGACACCUAAUUUUAGCAAAUCUAGGAAAAUAAAGAAAAUAAAAAUUGCAUUAGAACAAAUAAAAGGAAAAAAUGAAAAAAAAUGUGGGAAAUUGAUUUGAUUGAUUAUGCUUGGAAAUUUGAAAUUCUAACAAAUAUUCGGAUUUUGUUAAAUGCAUAAGCAAUUUAAAAAUCAAGUGAAUAAAGGGCACGGAUUUUACAAAAUGGAAUAAAUCUGAGAAAAAUUGAGCUGAUUGCGAAAUCAUGCUCUGAUUUACAACUUUGAUUUAAUGUGACAGAAGAUGGAAACUCGAAAAAUGCCAUACAAAGCGGCUGUCCGGAAUCAAUAUAAAAGAGAGCUUCAUUUUUUGUAAUGAAGGGGGAAUUUAGAAAAUUCGAGAGAAAAAUUUGCGAAAGAAUUCAUGAGAAAAGGAGAGGAGACUGAAAAAAAAAAAAAAAAAAAAAAGCAGAGAGGAAAGGACGUGCAGCAGAGAAGAGAGAGAGAGAGAGAGAGAAAAAGAGAAAAGAAAAAGAAAAAGGUUCAUGUUCAUCAUCUUCUCCGAGUCUCCCCUCGUCGUUCCACCUGCCGACCUUCGCUGCGCCGGUUGCCGCCACCCUGCCACCGCCUUUGGACACGGUUGCUGAAGCCGCGAAGAUCCCGACGCCGGAGCCGCUCCUGUCCUGCUCUGCCACUCAACCGGGAUGCAAGAUGCCCGAAGGUUUGUGCCUGAAGCUCUUCGCGACGCCAGGUUGGGUGCGAGCGAUAAAUGCGUGGGAUGCAAACAUUGGUCCCUGGAAGAAACAUGAUGAGAUCCUUGUGAAAUAUAAGAAUUGAAAUUGAAUCAUGUGCAUGGGUAUAUGCAUAUGGCAUGAUGCAUGAUCUACUUAUGAAAGUAAAUUGAUGCUAUUUGAUAUUAAAAAUACGAUCAUGAAGGCAUGAAUGGAUCUUAUGGUGAUGUAUGCUUGAUAGCAUGGAUGAUAUGAAUCAUGAGUAUGUAUGUGCAUAUGGCAUGGAAUGAACCUCAUGGAAAUACAAGUAUGGUUACAUGGUGGUAUAUGCACGAUGACAUGGUAAGAUAUGCAUGACUGCAUGGUGAUAUAUGCACGACUGCGUGAUGAUGUAUGCUUAAUAGCAUGGAUGAUAUGUGCUUUACUCGUGAUAUCUUGAUUGUCUUGCUUGAUGCAUUGUGUAGUUUGAUGGAUCUUUACUGUUGAGUGGUUGUAUUCACCCCUUUGGGGAUCAACAUUUCAGAUUGAGCUAUGCCUCUAGCACCUGUCACGUGUGGUACGUUUUAUGGAUUACCUUUUGAUGUCGAGGUCGAGUGCACGGAGCACCCUUGCUUCGGUGUUCAUGAUUUGGUAUUUAUCUGCCUCCGUGUUUUGGUCAUGUACGAUGUGGGCUUGCCUAAUGGCCCUAUAGUACAAGAGUUUUUUACUGUCCAUGUUCGCCAAGAUGGGAGGAUGAUAGGGAUGCUGCCGCCGCCGCCGGCCGAUGCACCAGGAUGGGUGUGAUAGGAGCGUGUGAUUGGUGGAGGUUGCCACUUUUUGGGAUGGCCGACACUAGCCGAUGGAUAGUUGUACAUGUUUUAUGUAUAGUCGGGUUCUUUUUUAUUUUAGUGCAACUUAGUUAUAGUCUUGGCCUUUUUGUCAUACCGACUUGUGAAAUCCAUCUUAGUAUGUAAAUAAAAGUGAUUUGGCCAUAAGAUGCAUAUAUAUAUGAAAGUUUGUAGUUGGUGUGUAUUGCAUGGUAUUGUUUGGUUGUGUAUAGGUUAAGGAGAUGAUAAGUAUGCUUCCGUUAUAUGAUCUGCGCUAGGACCGAUUGAGAUGGUACAAACCCCCAGGAUUUAUGGACCCGCUGCAAAUUUGAAAUGGUAUCAGAGUGGAAUGUUAUUAGGACAAGUGAAAAGGUAAGUAAGGGUAAGCGGACUGUGAUGACCCAAGCAGAUCGGAGGCCGCGUUGGGGGGUGCCACAAAUGAUCCUUUCGUUUUUCAACCCAUGAACCAAGCCUACGUUACGUCCCUUGCAAAGUCUCUUCUAGUUAUGGCACUUGGAUUAACCUAGGGGUUCACAUGUUUUAAGCAUCGCUCGAAGAAGUGUGAGCAAUAUUAUUGCUUUCUUAUUUUGAAGGGUUCUUGACUUGUAAACCCAGAGAUGAUUACAGAAUAUCACUCAUUCUUUCAAAAGCCUCAACUCAAAGAGUCCAUUUUGUUAAGCCAUUGACCAGGCCCAUAUCACAGUCCCUUUUAAAGACCUCUCAGAUUGGUCAGAUUGUACCACUUGCGAGAUUGCACAAACCCUUGUUUGGCAUGAUGAUAGUAAGAUAGAGUGAUUGUCAAAAUCAUGCAUCAAAUGUCAGGAUGAAACGACCAUUUUUAAUGAUGACGAGUGAAAAGUCCUUUCAGACGAGGAGAUCCCUCAUUUGACACAUCUAUGAUACUCAUGUGUUCAUAUUGGAAUUUUUUUUUGAAAUCUUUCCCAAUUUAAAUUAGGUAAUGCAAGAUUGAUAGAAAUCAUCACGCAUGAACCUUACUUGAAUUUAUGCAUGUCUGUGAAUGCAUGUUGUCUCUCCUAUAACUAUGUUUUGCAAGAGACAUAUCCCCCAAGGAACAGAGAUGUCACCAGGUAAAUAUAUCUUUAUUCAUACCUUAAAUACUUGUCAUUAUACAUGUAUUCCUUUUCAAGUACUAGCACUUGAUGGAGUUGCCCCCCAAAGAUUUUUCCUAGAUUCAUCAUAAUCAGGUGAUCGUAGAAUGGUACGGGUCCUGGAAAAUGAAUCCCAAUUUAGGCGACUGUAGAAUGGUACAGGUCCUAGACAACACCUAUUUCUUCAUUUAGGCGACCGUAGAAUGGUACAGGUCUUGAAAAUGAAUUCAAGUUUAGGCGACCGUAGAAUGGUACGGGUCCUAGGCAAUACUAGUUUAGGCGACUGUAGAAUGGUACGGGUCCUGGAAAAUCAUUUUUUCGUCAAUGCGACCGUAAAAUGGUACGGGUCCUAAGCAGCAUUCAAGCGACCGUAGAAGGGUACGGAUCCUGAAAAAUGAAUCCCCGUUUAGGCGACCGUAAAAUGGUACGGGUCUUAGACAGCAUUCAGGCGACCAUAGAAUGGUACGGGUCCUGAAAAAUGAAUCCUCGUUUAGGCGACCGUAGAAUGGUAUGAGUCUUGAAAAAUCAUUUUUUUUCGUCAAGGAGACCGUAGAAUGGUACGGGUUCUAGACAACAUUCAGGCAACCGUAAAAUGGUACGGGUCUUGGAAAAUCAUUUUUUUUUUCGUCAAGGCGACCGUAGAAUGGUACGAGUUCUAGACAGCAUUCGGGCGACCGUAGAAUGGUACGGGUCCUAGAAAAUCUUUUUCGUCAAGGCGACCGUAGAAUGGUAUGGGUCCUAAACAGCAUUCAGGCGACCGUAGAAUGGUAUGAGUCCUGGAAAAUAAAUCUCCGUUUAGGCGAUCGUAAAAUGGUACAGGUUCUAGACAUAACUAAACAAUGCCAUACCAGGCGACCGUAAAAUGGUACGAGUCCUGGAAAAUAAUUUUUCGUUUAGGUGAUCGUAGAAUGGUACGGAUCCUAGACACAACCAAACAAUACCAUACUAGGCGACCAUAGAAUAGUACGGGUCCUGGACAUGUAACACCAAUAUAUCUUGAGUUACUCUACCAUCCUUGAAGGUAAGUAAUUCUAGGAAAGUUCCUUUAUCAUUUGCAUUAGCAUUUCCAUGUAUCAUAUAAAUUUCAUUCAAAAUGGGAUUCAAUUUUCCCAAAAAAAAAAGGAGUCAUUUAGUUCAUGUGCAUGAUCAAAAUUUAAGUCUCAACUUGUCUUUGAAGGCAACCUCUAUGAGCUCACCUUCAAAGAGGAGCAGCUGUUGACACCUAAUUUUAGCAAAUCUAGGAAAAUAAAGAAAAUAAAAAUUGCAUUAGAACAAAUAAAAGGAAAAAAUGAAAAAAAAUGUGAGAAAUUGAUUUGAUUGAUUAUGCAUGGAAAUUUGCAAUUUUGACGAAUAUUCGGAUUUUGUUAAAUGCAUAAGCAAUUUAAAAAUCAAGUGAAUAAAUGGCAAGAAUCUUACAAAAUGGAAUAAAUUUGAGCAAAAUCAAGCUGAUUGCGAAAUCAUGCUUUGAUUUAAUAUGACAGAAGAUGGAAACUCGAAAAAUGCCAUACAAAGCGGCCAUUCGGAAUCAUUAUAAAAGAGAGCUUCAUUUUUUGUAACGAAGGGGGAAUUCAGAAAAUUCAAGAGAAAAAUUUGCGAAAGAAUUCGUGAGAAAAGGAGAGGAGAAUGAAAAAAAAAAAAAAGCAGAGAGGAAAGGGCAUGCAGUAGAGAAGAGAGAGAGAGAGAGAGAGAGAGAGAAAAGAAAAGAAAAAGAAAAAGGCUCCCGUUCAUCAUCUUCUCCGAGUCUCCCCUCGCCGUUCCACCUACCAGCCUUCGCUGCGCUGGUUGCCGCCACCCUGCCACCGCCUUCAGACACGGCUAUUGAAGCUGCGACGAUCCCGACACCAAAGCCACUCCUAUCCUGCUCUGCCACUCGACCGCGACUGCUCAGCGCAGAUCUCGCCUUUGUCGAACCCCUUUGCCGAUCUCGCCUUUGUCGAACCCCUUUGCCGAUCUCCGCUGCUCAAGAUCCGCCCAUGAUGCCUCUGCCUAACGCCUGCCGAAGCCGCAAUGAUCCCGGCGUCCCUGCUCACCUCCGCCCGUGAAGUCGCCAUCGCUGCCUAGCCGAGAUCCAGGCGCCGGAGCUCCUCGCCGCAACCGCCCAAGUCCUCUGCCCAUGACUUGUAGUGCCCGACGACCCCUCCAUCUCUACCGCUAUCGACGACCUGCCGACUCCGCCCGUUGUCUGAGCACUGGCCCCCCUCCGAGCGACCGCCCCACACAACCCUAGCUACUCCCACGACGCCUGACCCACGACGUACGACCCGCCUGCAACCUAUGAGAUCUCACACCGUCGCUCCACACCUCUGCCCCGCUCGCGAAGCCGCCAUUGCUGCCGAGCUACUCCACUAGCUCAACGCCCCGAUGCCCUCGCUCGCCUGCUGUGCCUUGCUGUCGUCAUCCGCGAGCUCUGCCCGACGCUGCUCGCCACCGCUCCGUAAUUCCCCUCACCGGCGAUUGCACUAGCGCUCGACGUCCACUCCGCUUCUGCUCUGACGUCGUUGUUUCCCCCGCGAUGCCCCCUCACCGGUGACUCCUCUCACCGGAGUAGCCCCCCACGGUUACCAAGCCCAAUUUUGAAGAAAGAAAGAAAAAAACACAUUAGGUAGUUUUUUUAGUUUAUUUUAUUUGUUUUUAUUUUUAUUUUAUUUUACUUUAUCUUGUUUUUUUUAGUAUAAUUAGUCCUUAAUAUAUGAUUGGAAAUUCCAACAUAUUACCCGAUUCGCAACCGCGCUUUGGGUUUUUUUAUUUCAUCUUUAAGGCUUUAGAUGAAAUAAUUAAUCAAGCGAGAAUAAAAUUGAUAUUUUGAUUUUUAAGGCUUAAGAUCAAUUUAUCGAUUUUAUCAGCGAAAUAUCACCCAUUUAUGUAAACGAUGUGUGAUAUUUUUAAUGAUUUUGGAUGAUUUAUUUUGUCUUGACUGCUUUAUUUAUCUUGAAAUGUGUUUGAAUUAGAUUAUCGCAUGCUUUAGGGUAAUUUACAUAUUUAGACUAAGCAUUUUAUUUAUUCUAAUUUUUUGAAAUAAAAAAUACCAAAAACAUGAAUUAGGAUGUUAGAUUUUCAUUUCAUUAAUUUGAAUUGCAUGUUUAAUUAUUUGACAUUUUUUUAAUUUCGAAAUUAAUUAAAAAAACAAAAAUAAUCAUGCAUAUGCCAUGUAAGAUUAUGGCAUCCUUUGUACGUCAUCGCGCAUUUGGGUAAAAUUGCAUAUUUCAUUUUAAGUUUAGAUUGAUUUAGAUAGACUGCAUUUUAAGUUAGAGAUUGGUAAGUUAAAAUAACAUCUUUGUUUUAAUUAGGGAAGUUGGAUAGAAUCUUAAUUUAGCUAGAUAAUUUUCACAUUUUUCUAAUUUCGAAAUUUCAUAAAAAAAUACAAAAAAAAAAUGUCUUUGAAUGAAUUAGUUUCAAUCUCUAGGAUAUAUUGCAUUUUUUAAAAAAUAAAACAAAAUAAAAAUGUCAUUGCAUGUCAUUUAGAAUUAGAUUCAUGAAAUGCAUGCCAUUUAGUGAUUGAUGCUAGGUCCGUUCAAUUAGAAAUUGCAUGUCAUUAGAAUUGGGUCAUUUAGUUAAUACUGCAUUGCCUAUUGCAUGAUUUUCAUUAAUCAAGUGAAAACAAAAAAGAAAUUGCGUGUUAAUUAGAAAUCAUAUUUAGGGUCGUUGAUGUGGAUUAUAAUUUAACAUUGCAGAUACUUUGGUUGCUUUGAGAUAAAUUUUUGCAAUUUAUUCAUUGUUUAUCCGUGUGUUAAAUUGGUGGUUUGCACACCCGUAUAAUCAUCUCACAUGUUAGGGAAAUAGAUUUAAAAUCAAUUUAAGCUGCCUACAAAAACAUUUUUUUAAAAUAAAAGAAUGGUAUCAAAAGGGCAUUAGAGAAAUCUAGUGUAACCAAGUCCCCGUACCCAUAGUCUCUAGUUCGUAGGAGUAAAGUAAACUCCCGUUACUUUAAUUGUGUUUCUAAUCGACCCACCAAAAAAAUAGAUUAGUGGCGACUCCUAGAUAAAAUCUAUCUGCAUGUUAAGAAUUUGAACAUAAGUCGCGAAUUGGUAUAGGCUUGAAAAGUCCGAGUUAAGUCUAGGCUUAACAAUCCAUUAGCCAAACCCUAGGUGAUUCACACCUGAAAAAAUUGGUCACGACAGUGGCCGAAGGGAGGAACCGGGUCCAUGGCCAAGAUCUAACUCCGAAAUGGCAAGUAUGUUUCGUUAAGGAUAAGUAGAAAUUGUGUGACAUUCUCUUGUUCUUUUAUGGCUCGAUAUUGUGCCAAGGUAUUUUCGAGCCCCUCCAACUUCUCCUCCGCCAUUUCAAGUUCAUUCCAGAGAGCGGACAAACAGUUGAAGAUGACAGAAAUGGACAAGUUUCCCUGUUUGAGUUCUGAUAGAGCUUGGGUUAACGAAAAAAAAUUUGCUCGAUCGAGCUUCCCAUACAUUUCUCGGAGGUUGUCCCAUAGUCUCUUAGCGUCUUUGUUAGUGGUAUUCCGACAAUAACUUCCGGUGUAAGGCAGUUCCCGAUCUAGGUCCACACCAACUGAUUACAUUUUCUCCAUUGUCGGGCAAGUCGAUUGUUAGAAGGAUUCGAACAGAACCGUCCAAAAAACCAUCUUUGUCUUUGGUCACCAAGGCUUGUUGCAGCUCGCGAGACCAUAUGGAGUAAUUUUCUGGUCCCGAGAGCUACUGCGUGACAAGACAGAGCUUGGGUUCGUCGACGGCAGACAUGUACAGUGGGUCUCCAAGUUCCGACCGUCCUUGGAUGAGACCUGCAAGCGGAAAGAAAUUGGGUCCGUAAGUCAGGUAGGGAUUUCCUCCCAGACCCGAUGGACCCGAUUCAUGAUGACCCGAAAAAGACCAACCCGCCCCAUAUCCAUGACCCGCCCCAGCAACAUGUGAUGGACUUCCUCCCAAUCCACCAUUUGUUCCGAAUUCUCCAGGACUUGGAUUUUGGGCCGGUCUUCCUGGGUUCAGCUGAACGAGUAUGGGUACCCAUUGAAUAUAUGGACCUGAAAAAAUUUGUCCAGGGUUAUCCUGUCUGAUCCUUACAACGUGUUCAACAGACUCGAUUGUCCUUCAUUAUAUGAUGGUCUUCUCUAGUGUUUUGCAGGAAACGUUGUCUCCUCCUCGGUUGUUGAGAGACUAUUCGUCGCCUUUGGACACACUAGAAUUUGUACCUUGAUUCUUCGGCAUGGUGCUCCCUUUGUCGACUAAAAAGAAACUUCACGGUUGUUGACUAAAAAAUCACAGGUCUGGCGUUGAUGCUGCCAAUCCAAGAAGAUGAAACAAAAAAGAACGAAGGAAGUUUUCUCAAGGAUAAAUGUAUAGCGGAAGCUAGAUGGAUGAGGGAGGCUCUGAUACCAUGUCAGAAGUUUGGAUAGAGAGUAAAGUUUGAAAUUCUCUUCAGUAUCAUUCAUGUGUAUAAUUACAUCACCUUUUAUAAUACAAGAGAUCUAAAUCUAUAAGGAAGGAAAAUAUACAAUAAAUUAAAUAAAAGAAUAUUCACGCAAUCAAGAUCAUUUAAGAUCAAUUCCUAUCAGCACGAGAUCAAUUAAGACAACUAACCAUCAGCAACCGUAUCUUCAACACUAUUCAAUCGCAAUUACAAGCAUGAAACCUUCUCGUAGUAGCUCCAUAACACAAAACCGACUCAAAAACUCACAAAGAAAACUACCUGAACACAUUCGGCGUGAUCGAUGUCGCAACCCGAUCUCGCCGCCCUCGCGUCAAAGGGAGGAAAGGUCAAGCUUAGGGGUACUUGAUCUCAAGAUCACGAGCUCUUCCAAGCUCGUACCCGCGUGACACCGAAUUUUAUACAGUCUAAUCAUUUAUAACAACCUAAAAAUAAACGAGAGUUGCCACUAGCCUUAUUUUGGGGGUCGGCUAGAAAACUCAAUCGAGAGUCGGGAGUGUUCUCUCGAUUCCUACGUAACCAGAUAUCUAAGUUCGGGGACUUGGGUUACGCUAAAAUUUCUAUUAACGCCCUUUCGGUAUCUAAACAGUAUGUUGUGUUUUUCUAACAUGUCCAUGCGUCUCUUUUUAUAUUUUCGGGAUCAUCAAUUCUAAACUAAGUGAUCAUGCGUGGUUAGUCAUUUUCAUACUAUUCUAUUUCUAGAAAAACAAGAAAAAAGAAAACAAUCAAUAGAAUUGAAAUUGCAAGACAGUAAGUAAACAAACAAGGAAAGCAGUAAAUCUGUCAUGCAAUCCUAAAAAAAAUAAAAGAGAUAAAAGAGAAAUAUGAUUGAAAAAGAUGAAAGAAAGAAAGAAAACCCGCAACUUGUCGGGUUUUAUACAACAAAUGGAACCCGAGACAUAUGUCGGGAAAAUGAAUAGUACAUGAUAAUGGUCUCACGCAAAGGUCCAUCUUUGGGAUCCUAAUCUAAACCUCAUCUAAGAAACAUGGAUAACUAGGUGCAUACAAAUGAAAGAAACAAUCAUCACAUAUCAAAACGAUCAAAAGCAAGACAUAUUUUGUGUUCAAGAAGAGUAACUAAAGUCACAAAGUCUAUAGGUCAAAUUCUAGGUGAUACCCCAAGGUUCAGCAUUAUUAUAUAUCACACCUAAAUCAUUCAUCUAAUAAUCACAUGUGAAACGUAUAACAUGACAAGCAUUCAAACCAUAUGACCUUAUUGUCAGAUUAAGAACACACAAUUUUAUAAAAAUCAUUCUGGGACAGCAGACUUUCAGAUAUGAGGAGCAAACAUAUGACAAGGCAAACAAUUGCCAAAUCAAGCACUUUAUAUGUCUAUGGAAAGCUUGAGAAAUAUAUUACAAAUCUCUAGAAGACAUUAAGUCCUAAUAACGUCAUCUACCAGCUCAUUCCAAGGACCGAAGCAUAUCAGUCAAAACAGGCAUACGAAUUUCCACAUCAGAGCAGAACACAACAAUUUUCCAGAAUUACUUCCUAACUUUUAAAGAAGAUUUCAUGUGGCUAAUGAUAUCGGAUCAGGGUGUAUUAUAGCUCGUUGGAAAGCUAGUUGAACCAUCUUCAACUCUCAUGAAGGCAUCAAACACAGAAAACCACAGCAGCUCGUAUCAAGUCAUUUGCACAAAAGGUUAUCCGAAACAGAGAACCAAUCAGAACAGCAAAAUUUCAAACAAGGUUAGGGAUAUUCUAGACAUACUCGACCUGGGUAAAUGAUCUUCAAUAAUCACGAAAUUUUUAUUUGAUAUUGAUUGGAACCUAAUGAACAACUUUCAUUUAGACAUCAACUUUAGAAUCUAAUCACAAAAAAAAAAUCAUGUGAAAAUGGCAAACGGCACAUGUCAUGCCAGAAACUUAUCAUCGAAGAAUUGAAGUCAGAAUUUCCAGAUUCAGCCCCUAAAUUUAGUGGCUUGUUUCUCACAGCAAAUGAACUUCAAUUUUAACAGGCAACCUAUUGAUUCAAAGCUUUAAGUAGUCAGAAUUAUAUUCCUAGCUGAUUUCUUCCCUUAAUUUCUACGUUUAGUUGCCCAAAUCAGCCCAUUAAGCACAUUGACUCAUUAACCUCCGAAAUUCUAGAACAGAUUAACAUAGGACGAUCAAUCGCCAGUCAACUCCUACUCAUGGAUUGCUGAACAUAUGCUGUUCAAAACUUUCAUUCGGAUUCUAUUAGAUGUCCUACCCAUGAACCUAGAAAAUUUCAAUGUCAAAGUUGGUCUCAGUGACCAGAGAGCAAGAAACAGUCUUAGUAUGUCGCCCGAUUCAGGUAAAACAUGCUUAACACUAAUAAUGAACAGGCUUCAAUCAAUUAUAUGCAAACGACGCAAACUGAACAGCAACACCAAACUCACAAUAACUAUCAAUUCAGUGGCCAGUAAACAAAAAUAGCUAAAGAAAGAUCCACAAACAAAAUCGCCCUAUCAGAGCAUCGUCAUUUCUGAAUCUAAAGCUUGUACGGUUCAAAUGUCAAACCUAGACAAACUCUUCCACUAACGAAACUUCAAGAGAGGAUAGAUUGAGCGCAAAACAGAGUGAUCGAGAGAGAGAGAGAGGGAGAGAGAGAACCUGAUCGAGCUAGAGACAGAGAGCCGUUGUCGCCGAUCAGUUUUGGAGCUCUAUCCUUGGAGCUGAGCCGAGACUUCCCACUCGGUGCGGACCCGAACCCCUGUAUCUCGAGCUCCAGAAGGGUGUGAUCAAUCAAGUGAGCGAGAGUCCGAAUGAGAGAACCCGCUUGAGAGAGAGAGCGGAACCCCUGAUCGAUCCAGAGAGAGAACCCGAUCCAGAGUCAGCGAUAUCCCUGUCCGAAAGCGAGAUCUCGCGCGCCUCCGAUCCUCGCCAACAACCGUCCGUCCAAAAAUGGGAAAACCGAGAGAUCCAGAGAGGGAGCUCUGAGAGAGAAUCGAGAACCGAGAGUCUCUCCGCUCGAGCGAGCUAACCUCCGAUCUCCAGAAAAAGAGCCAGAUCUGCUGUAUUCGUCAUCGCCGACGUCGCCGAUCAGAGAGCCGAACCCGCUCGAGAGCCACCGAUAGAGAAAAACGAAGAACCAGAGAGAUCGAGCGAGAGCCACCUCGUGCGGACGAACACCGGCGGCGAAAUCUGGAACGAACUACCACUCCACUCGCCGGAGACGGGGAUUUCAGCGGAGGAAGAGGUUAUUACCACCGAGAAGAGAGAGAUCUGGAGAUUUAGGGUUUCCUCCAAUCUGCCAUGGAAGAGCUCCAUCGAGCAGUUACAAAGAGGGAGAGAGAGAAUCCGGGGAGAGAGCGUCCGGUUUUUUUUCAAAGAAAGAGUGCCCGCGCCCCCCUGAUUGCCAAAGAAAGUCUCCGUUUUUUCCCCUUUUCAUUUUUUGUUUUCUUCUUUUCAUUUUUUUUCUUCUUUUCUUUACUUUUUUUUUUCAUUUUCAUUUUUUUUUAUGUUUUCAUUCAUCUUUUUUUUUUUAAUCUUUUUGGCUCUUUAUUUUUUAUAUUUUUUGCAAAAUGUUUGUUUAAAAUGUUGACAAAAAUUGUAGGUGUCAAUAAUCACGCAAGCUCCGGUACUCGGGAUUGGGCUUGGAGCCGUGGGUGUAACUGACGGCGGUCCAAACGACACCGUCGAGGCAGCCGAAGAUGGUGGUCCUCGAGGGCUGGUCCGGGGAGCCGGCGACCAAGUCGGGGAUCCGAUUGGCGAGCCUGAUGCAUUGGGCGCCGCCGAAGAACGAAGCAAGGACGACGGCAAGGGUCAAGAAAUUGGUCGGAGAGAGAGGAACGCUUCUCGAGAGACGAAUCGAGCGGGUCCCAGAGAGCGGCCGAGAGAGCUCUUCCAUGGCAUCGCCGUUGUCCAGCAGGAGCGGAGCGUCCGCAAGGGGGGAGGAGGAGGAGGAGCGAUUGGAUCGGGUUAUGGAUCUGCUUGUUCUUCCAAAUAUUAUUUUAUUAUUAUUAUUAUAUUUUAACCCAUUUUCACGCUUUUCUUUUCCUUUUUUUCACAACAUUUCCAAAAACUUACCGAAGGAUUUUUUUUUGGGCAAUCCCAGAGCUUUUCAGGUGAUUUCAAUUUAGACAAAACAUAUCACACCUUAGAAAAAUGUUUUCAAAGAAGUCAUUUUACGAUAUUUUUCGAUAUUCGACUUAAAUCUAAAAAUGAAUUGAAAAACUUUUAGUUUGUGCCAAUUAAAACUUCUUGUAUUAUAUAAAUGGGCUGAAAUGAUCACACGCCAUCUCUCUUCUCGUAAUUUUUGGAGAACCCACAACAAGUAGCUCGAUUUUCUUCCAACCUUGUCCGAAUCAACCCACGCUAAGAAAUGUGGCCUUUAUGCAUCUUGUUCAUCCACUCCCCUAAAAAGGUUGCUCGAUCAGAAGUUGCCGCCGGUCACUCAAGCAUUUUAGCCACAGAGUAGAACUAGAUUUUAAGAACUCUUAUUUUUCCAUCAUUAUUUGAAAUUUCCAGGGGAAAAUUCCAAAUAAAAGCCUAAAAUGGUGUUAUUUUCUCAAAAAAUUGCAUAUAAUCUACAUUAUUUCAAAUAAAGGUUUGAAAUGUCCAAAUUAGUUUCAAACAAAGGCCUGAACUUGCUGGUUGGCACAUGUGACUUUUCCAAUAGUCUGAACAAGGACACUUUUGUCGGAAAAAGUUUUCAAUAAAAAGAGAAGCCAAAUUUAUAAAAGUAAAAAACCCAAAUUUGUUGCUUUCUUUUCCCCAAAACACUUGAAAGAACGAAGGUCGAGAUCUAAGGUUUCGUUCGUUUUGCGGAAAAUAAUUUAUAGGAAAAUGUUUUUCGGAUUUUUCGACGUUUGUUUUACGGAAAAUGAAUUGUUUGGAGAAAAUAUUUUCUAUUUCAUUUUCAGGUUUCACCAAAAUACUGGAAAAUAAUUACAUUUUCUGGGAAAAUGGCUUCUCGAAAAAUAUUUUUCCAGAAACGUCACAUUUUCCGCGAAACAAGCGAAGCCUAAAUUUUGCACAUUGUGACAUUUUGGGGAGUGGCCGUAUAAAUGCAGAAGUUUCGAAAAACAUAAACUUUUCUGUCUAUCUAGUACUUAGUAGAAAUUUACAUUUUUUUUAAGGAUGAACCCCAUCCAUUGUUUUCAUUUAUGCUUCUUAAGAGUUAUUUACGGCAUCUGAAUCUUUCUUUGAGUUUAUGAACCGAAGUAAUGCAUUUAAGGAUAAUUUUCUGAUAUUAUUGUAAUUGGGCUCUUUUUAGGUAAUUUACGAUCCGUGGAAUUGAGAUCAUCAAUGUGUCCCCAUCAGCUUAGAAAACCAUAUGGGUAUUUUGGUAAUUUUCUGCUUAUGAAUGUUGAAGCCCGAAAUUUUAUUGACCAUCCAGGCGUCCAUUUUUUGCAAAAAUAUUUUAAAAAAAAAAUAUAUAUAUAUAUAUAUAUAUAGUAAUAAAAAAUAACGAAAAAUAAAUAAACAAGGAAAAUAGAAAAAAAAAUAAAAAUCAGGUGGCCCAUCUAUAUCAGGCCCGGUUCCUUUAGCAAGGUUUUCGGCCCACCUUCUUACCUCUCUUUGGGCUUAAUUUUCUCCUUUUUUUUAGGGCCUAGUAGUAUUUCUUUUUAGCCCAUUUGAAUUUACAUAGGCCCAGCCCCUUUGCCUUUCUUUUCCUUCUCCUCCUCCUCAUGCUCGCGGCUGGGAGCGUGGAGCGCGUGACCGUGACCGUGACCGUGACCGUGACCGAGCGUCUGUGAGGAACGAGGGCACGAGAAACAAGCCGGUGACGGAAGCAGAUCCAAGAGAAACCUUAUAGAAGGUGCUUAGCUGGUUGAGUGUGUAAGCAAAACGUAAAAAGAUUCCUUCGCCUGGAGGGAGGUCGCUGGCUGAAGAAGGUGCUCCUACAAAAGAGAGAGAGCUCGGUGGGGGAAAAAAAAGAGCGAAAAAAACAGAGAGAAAAACGAAGGGAGAGAGCUCGCCGGAGGAGGGGUAUUCGAGAGGAUUGUCUGGAUCCCCCACGAGGAUCACCGGCGAAUCCUUUCCCCCCGGCCGCCGUGCUUUCUUUCGCUCAUUGUCACCGGAGUUUGAUAUCUUCGAUUGGGGACCACCGUUUCCGAGAGUUCCCCAUUUCUGCGAUCCUUCCCUUUCACACUCGAAAUCGUCGUCGACAAGUGAACGCUGAGAUAAGAUGAGUCUAGCUCUAGCUUCUGCCAAUAUCGCCGAUUACACAUCGUUCCCGGACCAGGUGAGUCUUCUCUCGGACGUGCUCCGUGUAUGCUCUGUUUUGGCCGGGAGCGAGGCGCUCGAUUUAAGCGACGAUAUCGCGAGAAAAUAUGGAUAGGAUGGGACUCGUUUGUUGCUGAAUAGCACGAUUUGAAUGUUCUUACGUCGUUCCUAGAUCGAGAAACCCAUCUAUGUUGAAUCGGGACCUUGCACGCCAACCGUUCGAUAAAAUGCUUCAAUGAAGACCCGAACUCGAAUCGUUAAGAUCGAAGCUUAGAUCUUCGUUAUCUGCGUGAUUUGUUCUAAUAUUGUUGUCCAGAUACUGAAAUCGUCGUUUUAUUCGAUUUUUGAGUCGCGUCGUCUGAGUCGGCCAUGAACUUCUCGCCGGAAAAUCCAUCCCCCUCGCUGGAGAAGCCCGCCAUUUGAGGCUGCCCUCGGACUUCUCGCCGGAAAAUCCAUCCCCUUCGCUGGAAGAGCCCGCAGUUUGAGGCCGCCCUUGUUUGUCCGUUCCCCUUUGUUUUGAUGUGCAUAUCUUUGUUUGCUAUGCUAGGAUGGAUGGAUUUAUGUUAAUAUGCGACUUCAGACUCCGGAUUUAUUCCGGCGACAUAGGAACCGCCAGUCAGCUAAUGAUCGGCGGUGGUGGCUGAAACUUUGGCUGAAGCGCAUCAGAAAAAUAAUGGAGGUUCGGGUGAAGUUGAAGGAGGUUGAACAAGACGGCUCGCGAAGAAGGAGAUGUUGUGUGAAAAAAAUAAUAAUAGUAAAAAAGGAGAAAAGAAAUUUAAAAAAAAAAAGAAAAUAGAAAAGAAAAUAAUAAAAGAAUAGAUAUAUGAGCUGGGGUGUUAAUAAAAGCUGAGCUGAGAAUGUGGGCCGUGUCCGUUUGGAUUUGGUCUAGAUUUAAGGACUGGGUUGGCUUUGAUGUGGGCUGGCGGUGGCUUUCGGCUGGGCUUUGGGUUUUUUAGGAAUUGGGUUCAUUGGUUGAGCCCAGUUAAGCCUAAGACCAGAAGACCCAACCCGGACUAUUAGUAUUAGGGUCCGGGUCCCAAGAAAUACAGAAAAUUCCAUAGAAAAUUCAGAAAAAUUACAAAUCCCUGGAAAAAGCUUUAAAAAUUAGCUUUUCAAGUAGUUUCGUCUUAAAAAGUGAAAAAUCCUUCAAAAAUUGGAACCUAAAAUUGAAUAAGAAGGCUUUACGAUAGGGAUUUAUGGAUGCCAUUUUUUUUCUAGAGAAAAUAUUAGGUUUGUGUGUCUUUACUCCGAUGACAUUCGGUUGCGCAUCAUAAUACCUUGAGUGUUAUUUUCAUUUUUAGAAUGGUUAUGAUGAACCCUAAAAAUCUUCGAUAGGCUGCCCUAACACUUUAAUUAGCACUUAAUCAAGUUUAGAUACUGAAAGGACAUUAGUUCUAAAACUAGUGUAAUCAAGUCCCUGAAUUCAAAAUCUCCAGUUGCGUGGAAAGUGAAAUAUUCUUUCAUAUCUCAUUUGGUUUCUAACCAACCUUAAUAUGUUGGUAGCGACUCUUCAUUUGAAACUCACAUAGGGUUAGUUGAAUGGAAAUUGAACAACUAAUGUCACACAAUGUAUGGAUUUGGCAAAAUCAGCACUAACUGAUGGCCAUUGGCCUAAAUUUGGCAAUCUCUCUAAACAUGUUUCCCCUCGAGGGUGGGUCAUGACAAGGAAUAUUAAAGAUGACACUUGGAUCUGUUUAUUUUGCCAAAAAUGAAUGAUUUGAAAAAUAUUUGAAAAUAAACAUUUGUAUCGCUUGAAAUAAUUUGUCAAUGAAUAAUAUUUUCAUUAUUCAACAACAAUUUAUGUCUAAACAAUUUUAUAUAUAAUAAAAAUAUUUUUCAUUCAUUCAUUUUUAUAAGUGAUACGAUAAUUAUUUUUAUGAAAAUAUUUUUCUAAUCAUUUUAUUUCUGCGAAACAAAUGCACCCGUAUGAUUCCUCCGUGGUGCUAGAGAUACACCUUCACGAAAUUAUAUGAACUCAGGAUAGCUGGAGUUUAGAUGGUGGUGCUCUGCCUCUGCUAGGAAUUUCUAUAAUAGCAUAUUUGCAACCAAUAACAUAUUUUUAUGAAUCAAUUUUGGAUCAGAUAGAAAUGCUUUUGAGUGACCGAUGAGUUAAUGAAUUUGGGAUUUAGUUGUUGUAUUAGUUUAUCCUGUCAUUUGGUCUUAUUUUAAGGAACCGUUGCUUGCAAUUAUGCUGAGAUACAAAUGUUUCCCUUUGGGGAUUAUGCUUGUGAGUCCCCGUACAUUAUCGAGAUAUUUAUGAUCUGCUAUUGGAAACAAUGUCUGCUCGGCUACAUUGACGCGUCGAUAUAUUAUGCUUGUUGUGUGGUGAUUAGAUCAUGGGCGAUUGUACUCAUAUUUUAUGUCUAUUUGUUGAUAAUAUCCAAAAAUUAUUGAGUUACUUGCAGUGUUGAAGUACCUUGGACUUUUGGCAAAUGCCUAUGUGUCUAAUCAUUACUAGAGUUAAGGAUCACUUACUACGCAAGCAAGCUCAUUCCUUUAUAAUAUAAUGUUUUUCAGAUUUAAUUGAAACUGGUGAGAAUGAAUAGUGAAUUGAGAUUGACUAAUAUCUUGAGAAUGCCGGAAUAAUUAGAAGCUUUCUUUGCAAUUAUGUGUAUUUAAACAGAAGACUCGUUAGUCUAUUUGUGUUAGAUGUGUCAAACCUUUGGAUACGUAUGCGCUGGUUUCCUUUUUUUGUUGUUGUUGAGAUUAGCAAUUAUCUUGGAGAUUUUGGACAAAUUAUACAUUUAAUUUCAAUCCAGUAGCUUAUUUAAAAUUUAGUUAUUUAUGAAAAUAAUAUACAUUUGGGUGUGGCACAAAACAAUAAUGUGUUCAUAAGGCAUUUUUUAGUUAUCUUCCGAUUCCGGCAUAGUGCUUUCUUGAAUUGUUUUCUUUAUUUUGAGAAGCUUGAAAUAGUCAUAAAAUUAACGAUUACGUGUUAUUUGGAAAUGUCAUGUACAAGAAAAUACUUGGUGAUAAUCCUUCGAAAAAGUAAUUUCUUAUUUGCUGAAUUUUUUUUGUUGUUGUUGCAAAGUCAAGUGUUGAUGUCUAAGCAAAUUGCAGGUGAAGUUCGUUUCCAAGGUACUUUUAUAUCGUUGCCAAACCAAUAAAGUUAUGUCUAGUAGAAGGAUUAAAGACUAAACUCAAAGAAUUAGUUGUGAUAUUGCAUUAGCAGUGAAGCUCGGUAAUUCGAGUGUGAAAAAUGGACAGGAAAGACUACGCUCAAAGGAAUCAAGAAAUAAAAUGUGUUCCGAGUUACAAUUUAUAAAUCAUCAAAGGAUAGGAAAAAAGAGGUUGUGACUGUGUUUCUGGGAACAAUUUAUAAAUCAUCACAGGGUAGAAAAAAAGGUUGUGAUUUCAUGGAUAUUAACACGAUCAUUUAGUCUUCGUAAACACGAUGCAGAAUAAAUAUGAAAUUAAUAAAAUUUCCAAACUAGAAAAUGAAUUUGGCCGAAGUCAGAUAACAAUACUGUAAAAUAAAUAUGAAAUUAAGGAUAAUAUUGCUUGACGGAGACGGUGAGGGAGUUAUUCAAAUAACUCCCUCACUAUCUGUUAACAAUACUGUACAACAAGAAUUGAAAUUAAUCCCUCACCAUUUCAUCAAGAUGAUGAACUUUAACUUAUUUAUCUUACUCAGGCAACAGUAGGUUAAGCAAAAGACGCAUUUCCACCUGAAAGUUCUAGUCCAAGACCAGCUUGGUAAUGCAUUGUUUUUCAGAAGUUUGCACCGGCUCCACUACGCCGAGAUGCGCCAUUAGGAGCCAAACAUGGGUGAUGAGCUCUCCUCCUCUGCUCAGGUUCUCGGAGUGUUGGUAGCCUCUGCUUAGGCAAGCCGCGUAUAUCAGAAACUUCGCCCAGACCUUGCCGAUCAACUUCCAUUUCCUACCGAGGUCUUCCGACUCGAUUUUAUUCAACUGGGAUGCGAGAUGGCAAGCGUCGAACAGCACCGACCUGCUUUUGCCACCGCGUAUUUUUGUGGCAGGCAGUUGAGUUCCCACAUGCAGCAGAAGAUGGCAGACUUCGCAUAGAUCGCGAGACUCUGUUGACUUGUGCGCCUCGCUGCAGCUUUCAACGCCGGUGUGGUCAUUUUUCUCUUUCUUGAAUAAAUUCUGCGCCAACGUCUUGACAGCCGAUGAGUUGAUGCCGGUUUCUUUCUUUGACAACAUCUCUAGCUUGUCCUCGAAGAACUUCUGAGCGUCGACUGAAGUAUCUUCAUAUCGGAGCACGUCUAUCCCUGUUGGCAACAUGGAAGGAUGGAGUACCAAAAGAUAGAGCAUGUACCGAGAGUCCAACUUACUCAUCUUGAAGUCUUUGAUGUGUUCCGAGAUUUCUCCCCUACUCUUCUCGAGGUCCUUGUAGUGGAAGAGCUCGGUGGCGAUUUGCCAGAUCAGGAUGCUCUGGUCGAACUCCAUAUCGUUCACACUCCAGUUCAGGUGACCGUUGUUUGACCUCUUCAGUACUUCACUCACUAGCUUAAGACUCUUCAACCCGCUGUUCAAAUUGCGGUCCUGCUCUAGAUAAUCGACCGCAUCCCUCGUGUGAUUGAAGGUCCAUUCUUUGAUGUUUCUCUUGAACCCUUUGUAACUGAUGUAGUUCUUCUCCAACUUCUCAUCUAACUUGGCCAACCUCGGAUACAACUUGCUGAAUGUCCUGUUUCUUCUCUUGAUGGAUAAUUUCAAGAGGCUGAACUGGGCCACAGAAUUCGACCAUCUUGGGUUCGGGCAGAUCUGGAGAAAAGCCACGGCAGAUGAUAUUGUGGAUCCGCCAGGUCUCUGAAGUCGCCAAAGGUCGACCCAAUCGGAUGAAAUUGCGAGAAGAACCGAGUAAAUCUCUAAAAGUAUAGCCGCACUUAUCAGCAAGAAGGUGAUAUAGACGUCGACUUUGGGGUAAUCCUUCCUGUCCUGUAAGGAGAAGAAUACCAACAUGGCACACAGCACCGAGAGAUUAAUGACCCAACGAAUGAUGCCCCAAGCAGGUUCAGCAACAGUGCCUUGGUGUAGAGAAGAUCGUACAUGAACCCGAGCUCGACUUCCACGAUCCGAAAAGCCGUCUCUGGAUUCAUGUUCUGACGGUUCAUGAACAUGCGCUUGCUGGCCACCAGGUCGCUGGAGUUGAGGACUAGGCCCACGAAGAGAAGCUUAAAGAUCUAGAACAACUCAUAGGCUUUGGCCAGAGUCGUGGCUUUCUCUUGGUCGAUGCCUUGACCGCUGUUCGCUGAGAGGUCCUCCGGAGCCGAAAACUCCAAGACCUCGUCAAUGCCGACUUGGUAACCCUCCUCUUUCCUCAGAGUGUACUGCUCCAAGAUCCUGGGGUAUAUGGGACCAAAAUCGGGAUAUAAAAGCAUUGAAUCUCGAAGUUGACCUUUACUUCCCAAGUACAAACACAAUGUCCUCUCCACAUAUUUGAUGAACCCCAGCAGGAUCAUGCCAACCGCUAAUAUCGACAGCGUAGACCCUGACAAGGCCAUGAAGUAGAUGUAAAAAGCUAAUGCUAUUUGGACGCAAAGCCGUGCCAUCUGCCUCAACCAUAGCUCAUUGUCUGUCAGGGCAUACACGGUGAUCGUGUCAGGCCCACCCAAGUGGAGGAGAAGGAAUGGCGCCCAGAAAGCAGUGAUCUGGCUUUUCGGAUCGAUCGUCCCCUUCGUUUCCUUGACGGUGGCCAGGCGGUUCGAGAGGACGCCGAGUGUGAGGGUUGGGAUGAAAUCGGCCAAUAGGUAUGUUGUCCAGACCACGACUUGGAUCCAGUACUUGUAGAUGGAUUUCCUCCGAAACCCGAGUCACAAGGGUCAAUUGGAGGAACAAGCUGAGGAGGACAAGCAAUCGCAGCUCCCACUCCUUCCACAGUUCUCGAGUGUUUUCGGGAAGUAGCGGAAAUCCCAUGGUUGAACUCGAUGUCGGCACCAAAAGGCGCAACAAUCAGGCACCCUUGGUCGAUCUUAGGAUAAUAAAGGGAGAGGACAAAGCAAGGCAAAACAGCAUUAGCCUUGAAUUUUUACCUCUGCAACAUCCUCAAAACGGCCACUCUUUAUAACCAAUAACUUGAUGUUGGAAUCAAAUACACAAGCAUUUAUUUACCGUGCAUAACAUCAUAGGAAUGAAAAAGUAGUGCGCAUUUUGAAACAUCCCCAACAAUUGCCACAUCACUUUUGGAUGCACAGUUGUCAAUCAAUUCUUUGUAUUUGCCCAAGAAUGAAGUAAAGUGGCAAAAUCCGAUACCGGCAUUUGUACCAAUAACUUAAACUUCAAUUUCCCAAUCACUUUUCAAGUUUCCGAAUCUUGCAAACUCCAUUCUAAUCAUUGUGGUCCUGACAACCCUAGCCCAAUAUGAUCCAUGUGAAAUAACAAGUAAAGGCAAUUUGGGUUGCUAUAACAAGUAAAGGCACGCAACAAGGUAAAAAGAGGGUGAUAAAUGCUUGCUCCAAGUAGAAGUGAUUCCGAUGCACUGAGCUGAUUGCUUCGACUUCCAAACAGUAUAUUAUUGUCCUUGGGAUGAAAUCUAUGUAUUAAAUCCUAAAAAAAAAAAAAGUUGUUGCUACGAUGAAACAAUGCAUGAGAGCCCGUAUCACAUCACAUCACAUCACAUCACCGGCAGCUUAUGUGCUUUAUGGGCUUUAUGGCCAUCAUGAUCGCGACUUGUCAUCCGGGUCUGACCUAUUGGUUUAUGAUGUGCAACACUAGCUGAACAUUUUUCUCCAAGUCAAGUGGUGUAUGAGCUGGACAUUUUGGUUCUCCACAAACUGUCACGCGAGGGACACGCAACCAAUGCACCACCUUUAGCUUUACUUAAUUAAACCCUUAAUAUUGCACACCAAGGCUAGAAACAUUCGACUAAAAACUUAUGAAAGCCUCAAAGUCCAGAAAUUCAUAAACUCAUGGUAAGGUCAUCAAUGCCACAAUUUUCAUAGAGCGUCAUUUUAGUGUUAAAACUUAUUGAACAAUCAUUUUAAGUGCCACAACUUUUGAAAAAUGAUCAUCUAAGUAAAUACGGUAACUAAGUUUGCUGAAAAUCUGGCAUGGCUUAUUGAAAACACUUAAAUGGCUGCUUUAAGAAGUUUUGGCACUAAAGGGAUUAUUCAAAAAAAUUUGAUCAUUCACAAACUUGUUUCUUCUAAAAUUUUAAAAAUCAGAGCGAGCCAAAAGCAAAAAUCACAAAGAAAAUAUUCUAAACUUGACACGUUUUUCUUUGUUUUGUUAGAGUCAAAAGAAAAAUUAUUGAGCAAACAUUUUCUUAAAAUAGUUUAAUCUAAAGUCACAUAGAUCAAUUUGUUUUCCUAACAAAAAAGAUAGUAAAUAAAAUUUUCUUCACCUUAGUUAAGUUAUCGUAAAUAAAAUUUUCUUCACCUUAGUUAAGUUCAUAUUUGUUUCUUUUCUGACCUUGCUCUAUUCUUAGAUUAAACAGCAAAGCUUCAAGCAUUGCGGUAGUGGAUCACUGUGCAUUUGGUUUAGCUUUGUGAAAUACCUUUGCAUAGAUGCAAAGAACCUUAGUUCAAGGGAUUUCACAAAAUGCAAAACACUAUUUGCCAAAAACUUGUCAAGGACUUUAGUUUUAAAAAAGAAAAACAGAGAAUGAAAGUGGAAGCACAAAUUGACGAAGAUGGCACCUUAGGCGAAGGUUGAAAGAGAGACAACAACCCGUCACCGAGGUCACACGACCAUAGACGACUUCUGUCGAGGUUGCACCACCCUAGGUGAUCCUCAACCUCUACAACCGGUGCAACUAGCAAGCAUAGAGAGAGUGUAUGAGAAAGACAAUAAACAAUGUUUUUAGAGGGCAAAAGUGAAAUACACAAUUAUAAGUGAGGGCAAAUUUGGAAGGAAAAAAGUCAUUAGACCCCACAAUAACAUAAUGAAAAUACUGAAAGUGGGCCCCACCUGCUUGAGCUUUCAACUUUGCCAAUACUAGCUUUUACCCAAUGCCCUCCAAAAAUUUUAUUAAAUGCCCUAAUUUUUCUAAGGGAUUUUAGGGGUCCAAAACCCCAUGAGCUAAACCAAACGCACUUCUCUUUAAUCGAAUGUGAGGAUCCAUACUAAGGAAUGUUUGGAAACCAAUCUAACAAAAUAUCUUAAUUUGUGAAAAAAUGAUGCAUUUAUCAACGUUGAAUGGUAUAUAAAUUACGCAUCAUACAAUUUUAAAAUUUCUCGUGUGAAAAAUUUAAGAAAGAUUACUUUAGUGCCAAGAUUUUAUAAAUGAUCACUUUAGUGUCAAAUCUUUCCAAAAUUGUCCAUUUAAGUGACCUUUGUAAGCCACAUCGGUUUUUUCAUCAAUCACUUAAAUAUUGCCCUAUAAAAAUUGUGGCACAUAAAUGAUUGUUUAAAAAAAAAUUGACACCAAAAUAAGCACCUUACAAUAAUUAUGGCACUGACGUCAUCCUUAUCUCUACCUUCCAAAACUUCAAAAUUUAGGUAAACUUUAUUCAGAAAAUAGCAAGUGCAUACUUGAACCUUCCCCUUUAUCUUUCCGUUAUUCGAGCAAAAACUCCUGUCAAAAUAAAAGUAUGCAUUAUUCCAUUUCCAAAAAGUGGGAUAAGUACACUAAUGGUGCCAUAAGUUGUGUACGGCGCUCACUUUGGUGCCAAAAGUUUCUGUCGGAUCACUUAAGUGCCAAAUCGGAGGAAAAACGCUCACUUUGGUGCCACCGGCGAAAGAUUCCGGCCUCCGGCGAAAGAUUCCGGCCAAAAUGAUUUUUUUUUUAAAAAAAAAAUUGAUAAGCCUUUAAAUGACGUCGUUUUCAGUCCUCCUUAAGAAAACGACGUCGUUUUGUCGUCCUACGUGGAUGGCUUCAUGGAAACGACGCCGUUUAGCUCACAUGGGGAAGAAAUUAGGGUUUCGGCGAGGUCGAAGCCGUGGCCGUCGUCGGGGUUGGGGUCGGAGUCGGGGUCGAAGCUGCGGCUGCCGAGUGGCCAUCAUCGAGGUCGGGGUCGGGGUCGGGGUCGAAGCUACGGCCGUCGAGUGGCCAUCGUCGCGGUCGGGGUCGAGGUCAAGGUCGGAGCUACGACCGCCGAGUGGCCAUCGUCGGGGUCGGGGUCGGGGUCGAGGUCAGAGCCGCUGCCGUUGAGUGGCCAUCGUCGGGGUUGGGGUCGAGGUCGGGGUCGAAGCCGUGGCCGCCGAGCGCAAGGACCGUCGAGGACAGCGACGGCCGGAGAUUAGGGUUUUGAAUUGGGGGAGACACCAAACGGCGUCGUUUUGGUGUUUGGAUGCUGACUCAGCUCUCCGACGAGCCACAUUGGCGUCAAAAAUUAAUAAAAAAAGGCCACGUAGGAUUUCCGGCCAAUUUCGUCGGAGUUGGCACCAAAGUGAGCGUUUUUUAAAUUUUUUGGCACUUAAGUGAUCCGACGGAAACUGUUGGCACCAAAGUGAGCGUCGUACACAACUUAUGGCACCAUUAGUGUACUUAUCCCUAAUGAAAAAUGGCAAGAUUGCAAUUGCAAAUGACCUUAAUGUCCCUACGUAUAGGUUUCUAGAUCAGUCAAAUUUUAAAUGUCAAAAAAUAAAAAGUCAGAAAUGGAAGCGUCGCCUGCUUUUUCCAUACAUGCUAAAAAGGUCGAUUAAAUAUUUUGAAGCCUCUUGAUAAAAUGUUCAUUUUCUUGGCCUGAUGCUAAUAAAAAGUUACAUAUGAAUGAUAUAUCUUCUAUACAUUGACGGAAGCUUCAUUCCAAACUUGUCCUCAAGUAAGAUAAUGAUCUAAAGCGAAAGAAAAGAACAUUUGAAUAUACACUCGGUUUCAUAUCCCUUUCUCAACUAAAUUUUCAUUGCCCACGCGAACUCAUUAAAAUCAAAGUCCCUCAUCGGUUGAAUGUGCAUAAAUGAGGUUACAUAUAUGCCUAAUUAUGCGGAAUGUGAGGUAGUCCAGACCCCUAUUUUAGCGUGCCUUGGACUUCCAUAUGCAUUUCACCUUUGUCUGUCACCAAUCCUUUAGAAUUUAUUUCUAGUAUAUUCUUAUAUAUAUAUAUAUAUAUAUAUAUAUAUAUAUUUAAAAAGGGCCUCUCUACAGGACCCGAAUGUCACACCGUUUAGGAAUACACUGGUAAAGUGAGAUUUCAUACACGUCUGGAUCCAGGGAAGAAAAAGAAAAAAAAAAAAGACAUUACCCAAAACCAAAAGCUGUAACCCUUCACCUUCCGACACCCCACUGCGGUUCUUCCAUCAUCUGCUGGUUCAUCUCUUUGCCUUUGUCUUCCACGAGUCGCUGCAAGCAUCAAUCUUUCAUAUUGCAAAAUAUCCACUUAUUUAGUUGUUUUCAUUUAUUGCAUGAGUCUUGUUAACUGAAAGCAAGCAAGGCAAUGGUCUGUCCCAAAUCCCAACCUUUUGCCAUUGACUUAAUUGAUGGUUGAUAUUCAUCACCACUUAUGUUGUCUACACCGUCAAAAAUGGAAUUUGGACAAAGGAGUUAUGAGGUCCAAAGUUAGCUUGUCGAAUCUAUAAAAUCCGAAAAUUGAGUUGUGCGAUCGCGCAUGUGCUAACUUCAAAUGGCUUGUACAACUUAUCCUAAUGUCCAAUUGAAUUUUUGUUUUCAUGGCUUGCAUGGGCAUGAAAGUUUCUAUGUUCUUGGUAUUUUCAAGAAAUUUUCAUAAUUUUUGCUAUUUUUCAGAAAUGUCAAACAAUGAUGGAAAAAUAAGAGUAUUUGAAAUCUGGCUCUGCUAUGUGACAGAAAAUUUUAUAUUUUUCAUUAAAGUUGAUGAAAAAAUAUUAUACAUUGAUUUUUGUACGUUGUGACAUUUCGGGGGAGUGACCGUAUAAAUGCGGAAGUUUGAAAAAAUAUGAACUUUUUCGUCUAUAUACCAUCUACUAGAAAUUUACUCUCUCUCUCUCUCUCUUUUUCUUGGAUGAACACUAUCCAUUGUUUUUAUUUAUGAAUCUCAAGAGUCAUUUACGGCAUUUGAAUCUUUCUUCGAGUUUUUGGACUGAAGUAAUACAUUUAAGGACAAUUUUCUAAUUUUAUUGUAAUUGGGCUCUUUUUAGGUAAUUUACGGCUUGUGAAAUUUAGAUAAUUAAUGUCCCCAUCGGCCUAGAAAAUAUUAUGGGUAUUUUGGUAAUUUUCUGCUUAGGAAUAUUAAAGAUGACACUCAACUCCAUUUAUUUCAUAGAAUAUGAAUAAUUUGGAAAAUAUUUUUAAAAAAAAAUUGUUUCUAUUGCUUGAUAUAAUUAAUCAAUAAAUAAUAUUUUCAUUAUUCGAAAAAAAUUUAUGUCUAAACAUAUUCAUGUACGAUAAAAAUAUUUUACAUUCAUUCAUUUUUGUAAGUCAUACAAUAAUUAUUUUUAUAAAAAUAGUUUCUCAAUCAUUUUAUAUCUGCGUAACAAACGCACCAUUAUGAUUCCUUGGUGGUGCCAGAGAUACUGCUUUAUGAAAUUAUAUGAAUUCAUGAUAGCUGGAGUUCAGAUAAGUGGUACUCUGCCUCUGCUAGGAAUUUCUGCAAUAGCGUAUUUGUAACCAAAAACAUAUUUCCUGCAGAAACAUUGGAUCAAACAGAGAUGCUUUUGAGUGACUGAUGAGUUAAUAAAUAUGGAUUUAGUUGUUGGUUCAUCCUAUCAUUUGAUCUUAUAUUGAAGAACAGUUGCUCGCAAUUUCGUUUUAACACCACUGUUUCCCAAAGGUUAUGUAUGCGAGUCUGUGUCCAUUACCAAGGUGAUUAUGCUGCUGCUGGAAAUUAUGUAUACUCAGGUGCAUUGACAUGUCAGUGUGUUAUGCUUGUCGUUUGGUGAUUAGAUUGUGGACGAUUGUACCCAUAUUUCAUGUUUAUUUGUUGAUAAUACCCAAAAAUUAUUUUGAGUUACCUGCGAUGUUAAAGUACUAUUGAACUUUUGGUGAAUGCCACCUAUAUGUCUAAUCACUACUAGAUGUAGAGGAUCACUUGCUUCGCAAGGGAGCUCAUUCCUUUAUAACAUAGUGUUUCUCGGAUUUAGUAGAGAUUGCUUAGAAUAAACAGCGAGUUUUUCAUUAUUUUCGGAUCUUAAAAUAUUUUUUUGUUUUUAAGUUUUUGAGAGAUAGUCAUAACUAGAAGUUAUAAGUAGGCAAAAACCAGCCCCAAACUAUAUUUUCUUUAAGUAAAAUGUUAUUAACCAAGCAGACAAUCUAGCUACUAAUUUAUGGUAGUUUUAAAGUUACUCCUUUAAAAAAAAAAAAUUUGAAACUUACACGAAUCACUCUAAAAUAAAUUACCGGUCUCAGUCUCACAUAUAUAGAUAAAUACAUGCUUGCUUUCUUAAAGUUAAAAGUGUAGAAACCGGGAUGAGAUUUAAUUAUGUUAAGGUGGCUAGCUUCGGUUCAGGGAAAUGCCUCUGGUGAAGAAGGGUAACUGAUGCACAGUUUUCAUUAUUUCCUGAGUCCUCAAGUACAAGUAUUGAAAUAACUCAACCUCACUAUCUCAAGAUGAUGGUGAGCUUAACGUAUUUAUCUUACUCAAGUAACGGUAGGUUAAGCAAAAGACGCAUGCCACUGGAAAUUUCUAGUUCAAGAUCAGUUUGGUAAUGCAUUGUGUUUCGGAAGUUUGCACCGGCUCCGCCAUGCCGAGAUGCACCAUUAGAAGCCAGACAUGGCUGAGAAACUCUCCUCCUCUGCUCAGGCUCUCGGAGUGUUCAUCGCCUUUGCUUCGGCAAGCUGCGUAUAUCAGAAACUGUGCCCAGACCUUGCCGAUCAAGUUCCAUUUCCUACCGAAGUCUUUCGACUCGAUUUCAUUCAACUGGGACGCGAGAUGGCAAGCGUCGAACAGCACCGACCUGCUUUUGCCACCACGUAUUUUUGUGGCGGGCAGCUGAGUUCCUACUUGGAGCAGAAGAUGGCAGACUUCGCAUAGAUCGCACGACACUGUUGACUUGUGCGCCUUGUUGCAGCUUUUAACAUUGGUGUGGUGAUAUUUAUCUUUCUUGAAUAGAUUCUGCGCCCAAGUCUCGACAACCGAUGAGUUGAUGCUGGUUUCUUUCUUUGACAACACUGCUAGCUUGUCGUCGAAGAACUUCUGAGCAUCAAUCGAAGUGUCUUCAUAUCGGAGCAUGCCUAUCCCUGUUGGCAACAUGGAAGGAUGGAGUACUAAAAGAUAGAGCAUGUACCGAGAGACCAACUUACUCAUCUUGUAGUCCUUGAUGUGUUCCGCGCUUUUUCCCUGCCUGUUGUCGUGGUCCUUGUAGUGGCAGAGCUCAGUGGCGAUGUGCCAGACGAGGAUGCUCUGGUCGAACUCCUUAUCGUUCACACUCCAGAUCAGGUGACCGUUGUUCGACUUUAUCAGUACUUCACUGGCCUCCAGCUCAAGACUCGUUUUCCGUCCCAGAUUUUCGACCAUUGUUCUCAUGUGAUCGAAGGUCCAUUCUUUGAUGUUGCUGUUCAACACUUUGUAAUCGAUGUAGAAGUUCUUCUCUAACUUCUCAUCUAAUUUGGCGAGCCCGGGAAACUUGCUGAAGAUCCUUUUUCUUUUCCUGAUGGAUAAUAUCAAGAGGCUGAACUGGGCCACAGAAUUCGACCAUCUUGGGUUCGGGCAGAUCUGGAGAAAAGCCACGGCAGAUGAUAUUGUGAACCCGCCAGGUUUCUGAAGACGCCAGUGGUCGACCCAGUCGGAUGAAAUUGCUAGAAGAAUCGAGUAAAUGUCUAAAAGUAUGGCCGCACUUAUCAGCAAGAAGGUGAUAUAGAUGUCGACUUUGGGGUAAUCCUUCCUAUCCUGUAAGGAGAAGAAUACCAACACGCCACACAGCACCGAGAGACUAAUGACCCAACGAAUGAUGCCCCAAGCACGGUUCAGCAACAGUGCCUUGGUGUAGAGAAGAUCGUACAUGAACCCGAGCUCGACUUCCACGAUCCCAAAGGCCGUCACUGAGUUCAUGUUCUGACGGUUCAUGAACAUGCGCUUGCUGGCCUCCAAGUCACCGGAGUUGAGGAUAAGGCCCACGAAGAGAAGCUUGAAGAUCUUGAACAACUCGUAGGCUUUGACCAGAGUCGCGGCUUUCUCUUGGUCGAUGGCUUGACCGCUGUUCGCUGAGAGGUCCUCUGGAGCCGGAACCUCAGUGACCUCGUCGAUGCCGACUUGGUAACCCUCCUCUUUCUUUAGAGCGUACUGCUCCAUGAUCCUGGGGUAUAUGGGACCAAAAUCGGGAUGCGAAAGCAUCGAAUCUCGAAGUUGACCUUCGCUUGCCCAGUACAAACACAAUGUCCUCUCUACAUAUUUGAUGAACCCCACCAGGAUCGUGCCAGCCGCUAAUAUCGACAGUGUAGACCCUGACAAGGCCAUGAAAUAGAUGUAACAAGCUAGUCCUACCUGGACGCAAAGCCGUGCCAAUUGCCUCAACCAUAGCUCAUUGUCCUCCAAGGCAUAUGCGGUAAUCGUGUCAGGCCCACCUAAGUGGAGGAGAAGGAAUGGAGCCCAAAAAGCAGUGAUCUGGCUCUUUGGAUCGAUCGCCCCCUUCGUUUCCUUGAUGGUGGCCAGGCGGUUCGAGACGACGCCGAGCGUGAGGGUUGCGAUGGAGUCGGCUGAUAGGUAUGUCGUCCAGACCACGACGCGGAUCCAGUACUUGUAGAUGGAUUUCCUUCGAAAGCCCUGAGUCACAAGGGUCAAUUGAAGGAACAAGCUGAGGAGGACCAGCAACCGCAGCUCCCACUCCUUCCACAGUUCUCUAGUGUUUUCGGGGAGCAGCGAAAAUCCCAUGGUUAAACUCGAUGUCGGCACCAAAAGGCGCAACGGUCGGGCACCCUUGUCGAUCGUAGGAUUCUAAAGGGAGAGGACAAAGCAAGGCAAACAACAUGAGCCUUGAAUUUACCUCUGGAACAUCCUCAAAACGGUCACUCUUUAUAACCAAUAACUAGAUAUUGGAAUCAAAUACAAAAGCACUUACUUACCCUGCGUAACGUUACAAGAAUGAAAAAAGCGAUAUACAUUUUGAUAGAUUUAUGAGAUGGGCUUAAGGCCCGUCCGCCCAAGCUGGGCCCAAAAGGCCCGGCCCAUGGGAAUAUGGCCCGUGGAAAGGGAGAGGUAUAAAAGGGAGGAGAGAGAGAGAAAUGAUAUUAGUUGGAAAUAGAAAACAACGUACGUCUUUUUCUUUUUACGCUAUCUCUCUCUCAAAAGGAAAAACAGUAAGCAUACGGCGCGCUUUUCUUCCCUUCAAGGCUUCAUCGAAUCGAACAGGACCGUUUCUCUUCCUCUUGUCGGCGUCGGUGUUUAAUCUGUGGCUAAUAAGGUACGCUCGAAUCCGUGGUGUGCUUUACGAUCGGUGAUACGUGUUUUCCCGGGCUUCGUCUUCCGCAUUGAUUUAGGGGUUCGAUUCGGUGUCGAAUCCGGUUUUCGGGGAUCCGUUAUUCCCAACAUUGGUAUCAGAGCCCUAGUUCACGUUUUCCCGAUCAAUUUGAUGUUUUUUGAUUGAUUUUUCGCAAAAAAAAUUUCGGCCGUACGGAUCGGGCGAGAAAUCCCGACACCCGAGCGUUGUUCGGCCAUUUUUCUGAGUUUUUGUAAGUCGAAAUCGUUUCCUGAACACAUGGGGAGAAAGGCGACGUCGAGACGAGUCCGGCGACAUGUCGCACGCCGCCGGGAGACGCUGCACGCGCCCACACGCGCUGCCAGAAGCCGAUGCGCGUGGGCGCGACGCGCCAGAAGCGCUGGCAAUGGCCAGCGCGUGCGCCACACGCGCCGGUGACGAACCGGCACGUGCGCGCUGGCAACCGGCGAAACGGCACGCGCCGGUCCACGGACCGACGCGUGCUGACGUCACGCGAUGACGUCAUGGUGACGUCAUCCAACGAUCGGUAACCGCUCGGAUGACAUCACCGAUGACGUCAUCACCGACGACGUUUCGCCGGGCGGUCACCGGCCGGCGACCCGACCCGACGACGACCCGACCCGAACCGCGACGCCCGGCACACGCGCGUCACGUGCCGGCUGACGUUUGCGUGACGUCAUCCCGCGCACGCGCGCGGCACGUGCGGUCGGUUCGCCCGGACCGGCCGACCGGCCCGUCCGGUCCGACCGGUCCGACCGUCGUGACCGGUCCGAUCGGUUCGACCCGCGCGCCCGUUGACCCGACCCGUUGACCGUUGACCGUCCGUUGACUUUGACAGUUGACCCGAAAAAAAAAAAAGAAAAAAAAAGGGAAUUUGUUUCUUUUUCAGUCAUGCCUAUGUGGGUUAUAAGUAAUCCAUUUUUAAUGCUGCAUUUGUUGCAUGAAUUUUGGAAAAUUAUGUAUUUUCCCUUAUAUUUAUUAUGGAUUAUAAGUGAUCCAUUUUUAGUUCUGCAUUUGUUGCAGGAACUAUGAUGCGUUAUGCAAAGAUACCUGCAAUCCCGAGAACGGACGAGGGAAAUGAAAGACUUAAAAGGCUGAUGUCAGAAUUAGUUAAUUAUCGGUGGCAUGAUGGUGAUUUAGUAUCACAUGUGGUCAGGGUCAAUCAGAUGAUACAGGAAAUCAUCUGGAAUAGUUAUCUUAUGCCGGAUUUUGAGAAGGUGCCGGCUUUGAUGAACACUCUUCCACCUGAAUGGCAAGCAGUGUUGGAUCGGCUAUGGGAGGUCAACGUGGUCCCGGGUUAUAGGAGGCUGGUGGAAGCUUUUGUAAGAGAGCACUAUAGGAUUGAGUUGGCCAAAACUUCAACCCUUAGAUUGAGCGCCACAUGGCGUAGAGUAAAUGCGCAUUGGUGGCGACAUGAAUGCUCUCCAAAAGUUUUUUUUUAUGGUUGGCAAAUGUGCUUUCAGUUUUCUCAGAUGUUUUGACUGAUAGGUUAGAAGGGACAUUCCCUAUUUAUUUCUAUGAUUAAUUAUGUAAUGUUUACUACUUGAUUGUUGUUGAUGUAGCAACCGAUAUGUUAGUUGUAUCAUGUGAAAGCAUUGUUAUUUUAUUGGAUGUUAAGAUUUUAUUUGCUUUCUGCUAUUGCUGGUUGCUGUGGGUAAUUAGCUGUGGGUAGUAAUAGAAGUUUUUGUAGCUUCAUAGAAUUGAUUUUGCAUAUGACAAUCAUAUUAAUGAUAGUUUUAAGUUAGGAUUUUUGGAGGAUGAUUGGAAACGUAGUGACCUUUUGAUUCUGAAACCUUACUUGAAAUUAUUCAUUGAUAUGAUGAGUCUGUGCAAAGUGGAUGCAUAAAUGAUAGGCAUUAAUUAUUCGUGCACAUAUGUCUGAUGUGUUCAGAUUGAUGGAUUCAGCAACUAAGAACGUAAUUGCUGAUGUGAACGGCAACAAUUGUGAAAUAUUGAAUAUGAAGAUUCAAUAUGUGCUGGAAAAACUAGAAGCACUAGAAGCUCUUGACCAUGUUAUGGAAAAUCUUGAGGAUGUUGUGCGCCACCUUGAGCUGGUAGAGGACCGCUUGACGGCAUUUGAGCCGAAAAUAGAUAUUUUCAAUGCUAGUUCUAGCUCAGAAAGGGCUUUGUGCUCUAAGCGCAAGUGUAUUGAUUCGGUCAAUAUGUGGGAAUGCAAAGGAUCAAGUCCUUAUUGCAAGAGAUAAAGAGUUAACCCACACAAGAGAGGAAAACGUCCUCAAGUGAAGAAAAUGUCAAGGGUGAGGUGUUACAAUUGUGACAAUAAAGGUCACUAUGCUCGCAACUGUUGUGAGCCAAAGAAGGUAAACACCUCUUGUACAUUUGAGAACUUUGCUUAUGUGUCAAGUUCUACAUUAUUAGCUGAAUCCAAUCCUUUGUGGACUGUAAAUUCAGGAGCGACAGACCAUGUAGCAAAGGAUAGAUGAUCCUUCGUGGAAUUCUGACGAUACCAACUGGAACUAAGUGGAUCUAUGUGGAAAACAGCUCCAGAGCUGAAGUUAAAUGGGAUUGGCACCUACCAAUUGAACAUGCGUGGUGGACGCAACUUGUUCCUACAUGAUGUUCUAUAUGCUCCGGAGAUUCGUCGAAAUUUAAGUGUCUGUUUUGAUGUUGGUUAAGCUUGGUUUUAGUGUGAACUUCCGUAAUAACGGUGUAGAUUUGUAUUUGGAUACAAACUACUAUGGUUGUGGUCACUUUCUGGAUGGUUUUAUUGUACUGAAUGUUGACUGUGGUGAUGUCAAUAUGUUAUUCCCUUGUUUCACGUCUUUUACUUCAUGUGAUAAUGAUGUGAAUGUGUGGCAUGCUAGACUUGGUCAUAUUGGCCAACAACAUAUGAAUAGACUAGCUAAAGAAGGCUUGUUGGGCAAUAUUGAAUAAGUCGAUUUGUCCAUAUGUAAGCAUUGCCUAGAAGGGAAAACGACAAGGAAACCAUUUGGAAAAGGUAAAAGAGCUGACGUUCCUCUGCAUUUAAUCCAUUAUGACGUUUGUGGUUCAAUGAAUGUGAGAGGAAGGCAUGGGACUGUUUACUUCAUCACUUUUAUUAGAUGAUUAUACUCGAUUCGAAUGUGUCUAUUUGAUUUCUCAUAAAUCUGAAGCAUAAGUUGUUUCAAAAGGUUUAUGAACUUGGAAGAAAAUCAAUUAGACAAGAAAAUAAAAGUAUUGAGAUCCGAUCGAGGUCGAGAAUAUUUAUCUGAUGAGUUCAGAAAAUAAUAUGAUGAAAAGGAAUAGAAAUAUAGUUGUCUAUUCCAUAUACUCCUCAACAAAAUGGUGUUGCAGAGAGAAGAAACAGAACCCUACUGGAAAUGGGUAGGUCCAAUAAUUAGAACGUGAAUAAUAUUUUCAUUAGUCAAAAACAAUUUGCGUCUAAAUAUAUUCAUAGAUAAUAAAAAAAAAAUCACUUAUUUAUUUUUGUAAGUGAUACAAUAAUUAUUUUUAUGAAGAUAUUUUCCGAAUCAUUUUAUUUUUUGCGUAACAAACGCACCACUAUGAUUCCUAGGAAUGAGCAUGGUCCGGGUUGGGCCGAUCCACUCCCUAACCCUAGGACCAACCCGCAUAGUGCUAGUCCUCAAUUUUUGGGAAGGAGGACCGACCCUAUUGAGCUUGGGACCGAGGACCAAAUUGACCCAAUGGGUUUGGUCCGGUUCCAGGGUCAACCCGGGACCGAUCAAUAAUUUUUUAUUUCAUUUUUUGUACCCCUUAAAAAACCGAUUGAGGACCGAACUAACCCAAUAGGUUCGGUCCGAUUUCAGGGUCAACCUAGGACCAACCAAUAAUUUUUUAUUUCAUUUUUUAUACUCCUUAAAAAAAUUAUUGAGGAUUGAACUGACCCAAUUGGUUCGGUCCGGUUUUAGGGUCAACUCAAAACCAACCAAUAAUUUUUUAUUUCAUCUUUUAUACUCCUUAAAAGGGCAAUUGAGGACCAUACCGACCCAAUGAGUUCGAUGAUGAGCGAGGUCAACUAAGAAAGACAAGCGGUAAGGGUCAAGUGGGGUAAGCAUCGAACAGAAUAAGCAUCGAAUGUCGAGCAGGAAGCAAAUAGUCAAGCGAGCAUCGAGCGGCAAGCGGCAUGAGUAACUCAAAGCGAGCAAGACGAGUGUCAAGUGGUGAGCGGAGAAGUUGUUUUUUUUUUUUUUUUUGGCAAAUUGAAGACUAAGAGGGUAAAGACAGAAGAGAACGAAUACUAGAGGAUAAUGCCAUAAGGAACUGUUUAUACCUUUUUGGACGCCGUGAGAACUCAUUAUUAAAACAUUUUCCUCAUUCGUAAAUUAUGACUAUUGACGCCGUAAAAGACAUUAAAAAUCUAAGUUAUUAAAGAACAAUGUAAAAUUAUUUGAAUUCCUCACUAAAGAGCAAUUUAAUAUUGUUAACGUCAUUUAUUUUAAGAUUUUCUCUAUAUAAAAAAAUUAUAAGUAAUAUAUAUAGUUAGGAUUGAUCCGGGUUGAACCGACUUGGAACUUGCAGGACCGAUGACCAACUCACACAGUGCUAGUUCAGGAAUUCUAGGACCAAAGACCAACUCAAUCUCCCUGGGAACCGGACCAGGACCAGCAAGGUUGGGCUAGUCCAGGGUCAAUCCAGGGUCAACCCUGGACCAAUGCUCACCCGUAAUGAUUCCUUGGUGGUGCUAGAGAUAUUGCAUGAAAUUGUAUGAAUUCAUGAUAGCUAGAGUUCAGAUAAGUGGUGCUCUGUCUCUGCUAGGAAUUUCUACAAUAGCAUAUUUGUAACCAAAAAUUAUUUUGAGGUACCUGUGGACUUUUGAUGAAUGCCUCUCUGUCUAAUCACUACUAGAGGUAAAGGAUCACUUACUACACAAGCUGAGCUCAUACCUUUAUAAUAUAAUGUUUUUCAGAUUUAGUAGAAAUUGCUGAAAAUAUACAACAAGCUUUUCAUUAUUUUUCGGAUCUUAAAAUAAUUUUUUUGUUUUUAUGUUUUUUAGAAAAAGUCAUAACUAGAAGUAAUAAAUAGGCAAAAAGGGGCCCUGAACUGGAUUUUCUAAGUAAAAUGUUAUUAACUAAGUAGACAAGCUAUCUACUAAUUUAUGGGAGGUUAAAAGUUACUCUCUUUUUUUAUUAACCGGUCUCGGUCUCGCAUAUAGAUACAUACUUGCUUUCCCAAAGUUAAAAGCGUACAAACUGGGAUGAAAAAUAAUUAUGUUAAGGAGUUGCUUAGUAAAUCAACAUGAAAGAGUUACUUGACACUUUUGAAGAGAUAUGCCGAAAGUUACUAAACGACUUUGAGAAACUUAAAUUCUCUGUCCCAAUGGUAAUGCCACUGGCGCAUCUCUGUCCGAAAGUUACUGAUCCACCAUCAGUUUUCAUUAUUCCUGACUCCUCAAGAACUUAACCUCACCAUCUCAAGAUGACGAGCUUCAACUUACUUAUCUUACUCAAGUAACAGUAGGUUUAAAAAAAGACGCAUUCCACCUGAAAGUUCUAGUUCAAGAUAAGUUUGGUGAUCCAUUGUGCUUCGGAAUUUUGCAUCGGCUCCGCCACACGGAGAUGCGCCAUUAGAAGCCAGAUAUGGCUGACAAGCUCUCCUCCUCUCCUCAGGCUCUCGAAGUGUUUGUAGCCUUUGCUUUGGUAAGCCGUGUAUAUCAGAAACUUCGCCCAGACCUUGCCGAUCAAGUACCAUUUCCAACCGAAGUCUUUCGACUCAAUUUCAUUCAACUGGGAUGCGAGAUGGCACGCAUCAAACAGCACCGACCUGCUUUUGCCACUGCGUAUUUUCAUGGCGGGCAGCUGAAUUCCCACUUGGAGCAGAAGAUGGCAGGCUUCACAUAGAUCACCCGACUCUGUUGAUUUGUGCACCUUGUUGCAGCUUUUAACUCCGGUGUGACCAUAUUUCUCUUUCUUGAAUAAAUUCUGCGCCCGUGUCUUGACAACCGAUGACCUGAUGCUGGUUUCUUUCUUUGACGACACCAGUAGCUUGUCCUCGAAGAACUUAUGAGCGUUGACCGAAGUAUCUUCAUAUCGGAGCACCUCUAUCCCUGUUGGCAACAUGGAAGGAUGGGGUGCUAAAAGAUAGAGCAUGUACCGAGAGACCAACUUACUCAUCUUUGUAGUCCUUGACGUGUUCCGGUCUUAUUCCCUGACACUGGUCGAGGUCCUUGUAGUGGCAGAGCUCAGUGGCGAUGUGCCAGAUGAGAAUGCUACAGUCAAACUCUAUAUCUUUCACACUCCAGAUCAGGUGAUUGUUGUUUGACCUCAUCAGUUCUUCACUUGCCUUCAGAUCAAGACUGGUCAACCCGCUCCAAUCUUCUGUUCCGUUCUGGAUAAUCGACCAUACCGCUCAUGUGAUCGGAGGUCCAGUCUUUGAUGUUACUCUUGAACUCUUUGUAAUUGAUGUAGAAGUUAUUCUCCAACUUCUCAUCUAACUUGGCGAGCCAUGGAUACUUGCUGAAGAUCCUGCUUUUUUUCCCUGAUAGAAAAUUUCAAGAGGCUUGGGCCACGGAAUUCGCCAUCUUGGGUUCCGGAAGAUCUGGAGAAAAGCCACGGCAGUUGAUAUUGUGGAUCCGCCAGGUCUCUGAAGACGCCAGUGGUCAACUAAUCGGAUGAAAUUGCAAGAAGACCCGAGUAAAUCUCUAAAAGGAUGGCUGCACUUAUCAGCAAGAAGGUGAUAUAGACGUCGACUUUGGGGUAAUCCUUCCUAUCCUGUAAGGAGAGUAGAAUACCAACACGGCACACAGCACCGAGACAUUAAUGACCCAACGAAUGAUGCCCCAAGCAAGGUUCAGCAACAGUGCCUUGGUGUAGAGCAGAUCGUACAUGAUCCCGAGCUCAAUCUCUACGAUCCCAAAAGCGGUUGUUGAGUCCAUGGCACUAUUCAUGAACAUGCGCUUACUGCCUCCUGGUCGCCAGAGUUGAGAAUAAGGCCCACGAAGAGAAGCUUGAAGAUCUUGAACAACUCAUAGGCUUUAACCAGAGUCCUGUCCUUUUCUUUGUCGAUGGUUUGACCGCUAUUCACUGAGAGGUCCUCCGGAGCCGGAACCUCCAUGACCUCGUCGAUGCAGACUCGGUAACCCUCCUCUUUCUUCAGAGUGUACUGCUCUAUUAUCCCGUGGUAUAUGGGACAGAAAUCGGGAAGCGAAAGCAUCGAAUCUCGAAGUCGGCCUUCAGUUACCAGGUGCAAACACAGUGUCCUCUCUGCAUAUUUAAUGAACCCCACCAGGAUCACGCCAGCUGCUAAUAUCGACAGUACAGACCCUGACAAGGCAAGGCCAUGAAGUAGAUGUAACAAGCUAGUCCUACCUGGACGCAAAGCCGCACCAACUGCCUCAACCAUAGCUUAUUGUCCGCCAGGGCAUACGCGAUGAUGGUAUUAGGCCCACCCAAGUGGAGGAGAAGGAACGGCGCCCGGAAAGCAGUGAUCUGGCUCUUCGGAUUGAUCGUCCCCUUCGUAUCCUUGACGUUGGCCAGGCGAUUUGAGAGGAUGCCGAGCGUGAGGAUUGCAAUGGACUCGGCUGAUAGGUACGUCAUCCAGACCAUGACUUGGAUCCAGUACUUGUAGAUGGAUUUCCUCCGAAAGCCCUGAGUCACAAGGGUCAAUUGGAGGAACAAGCUGAGGAGGACGAACAACCGUAGCCCCCAAUCCUUCCACAGUUCUCGAGUGUUUUCAGGGAGUGGCGAAAAUCCCAUGGUUGAACUUGAUGUCGGCACCAAAAGGCGCAACGUUCAGGCAUCCCAGGUCGAUCAUAGGAUUAUAAAGGGAAAGGACAAAAGUAAGGUACAACAGCAUUAACCUUGCAUUUACCUCCCCAGCAUCCUCAAAACGGCUACUCUUUAUAACCAAUAACUUGAUAUUGGAAUCAAAUACAAAAGCACUCGGUUACACUACUUGUAGAUGGACUUUUAUAAAUGAAAAAGCAGUACGCCUUUUGAAACACAUAAAAUGCACGACUCAAGAGUUCAUUUUUUAAUGCAUAAUUGUCAAGCAAUUCUUUGCUUUGCCCGAGGAUGAAGUAAAGUGACAAAAUUAAAUUCCAGCAUUCAUAUUGUCAUGAUUGCUAUAUGCUUUAAUUGAGAAGAUUGGAAUAUAAUCCUAGAGUUAAAAGUUUGAUUCCUUAAUUACUUGUCAAGAUUUCGAAUUAUGUGAACUUAAUUAUAUUCAUUGUUAUCGUAACACUUUCUCUGCCAUGCCCCCACCAGCCCAGCAUAAUCUUUGUGGAAUAUAAAAUUCACCUAUUUGGGUUGCUAUAACAAGUAGAGACACGCAAGAAGGCCAAAAACAGGAUGAUAAAUGCUUACUCCAAGUUAAAUCAAUUCCGACGCAUUCAGUUGAUUGCUUCAAUUCCCAGACAACAUAUUAUCGUCCUUGGAUUAAUCUUCAUAUUAAAUCCUAGAAUGAAGUUGUCGCUACGAUAAAACAAUGCACAAAAGCGCAGGUGUCACACUGUAUCACCGUCAACUAAUGCGCUUUAUGACCAUCAUGAUCACAACUUAUCGUCCAUGUCUUGACAUGUGGUGUGCGACACCCGUUGAACAUUUUUUUCCAGGCCAUGUAUGAGCUGAACAUUUUCAUCCACAUCCUGUCACGCGAAGGACACACAGCCGGUGCACCACCUUUAGCUUAACUUAAUUAAACCCUUAACAUUGCGCAUCAAGGCUAGAAACAUGCGACUAAGAACCUACGAAAACUUGAGAGUCCAAAAAUUCACACCUCAAAAUAAGUUUUCAUUUUUCCCUAGGGUGGAAAGGACGUGAUCAAUGCCAUAAAUUUUCAUGAGGCAUCACUUUAAUGUUAAAACUUUUCAAACAAUUGUUUUAAGUGCAAUAACUUUUUAAAAAUGAUCAUCUAAGUGAAUACAGUGACUUAGUUUGCCGAAAAUCUAGCAUGGCUUGUUGAAGUCACUUAAAAGGUUGCUUUAAAAAAUUUUGACAGUAAAGUGAUCAUUCAAAAAGUUUUGGCAUUAAAUUGAUGAUUCAUAGAAUUAUUGCUCUAAAGAUUUAAAAAUUAGAGAAGCCAAAAACAAAAAUCACAGAAAAUAUUAUAACUCUGACACGAUUUUUCUUUCUUUUGUUAGGCUCAAAAGCAAAAUCAUUAGGCAAACAUUCUCUUAAGUUUCAUCUAAAGUCACAUAGAUCUAUUGGUUUUCCUAACAAAAAGGAUAAGUAAGUCAAAUUUUCUUUAAGUCAAAUUUUCUUCACAUCUUGGAAGUUUGUAAUUAUUUCUUUUUCUAUUCUUAGAUUGACAAAAAAGCUUCAAGCAUUGCCAAAAUGCAUUAUAGUGUGUUUGGUUCAGUUUUGCAAAAUACCUUUGCAUGGACACAAAGAAUCUUAGGUUGAAAGGUUUCACAAAUGCAAAACAUUAUUUGCCAAAACCUUGUAAUGGACUCUAGUUUUAAAAUAAAAUAAAAUAAAAAACAAAGAAUGUUGACGAAGAUGGCACCUCAGGCGAUGCCAGAAAAAGAGACGACAGCCAGUUGGCGAGGUCACGUGAUCACAAGCGACCGCUAUGAAGGCUGUGCUACCCCAGCUAUACAUUAAUCUCCGUAUCACGUCAUAACAUAAGCAAACUAAGCCUCUCACUCCACAUACUAUACGUUAUAUAUUAUGCAAUAUGUAAAGGACAAAGAUAAAAGGAAGAAAUUUCAAGGUAGUGGUAUACAGUCUUGUGAAAUUUAGCCCAACACAAAUUAGAACCAAUAUGAAUUCACUUUGGCAAUUCUAUAGAUAUUUAACUUAUAGAGAUAAGUACACCAUGUGUUUGAGUCAUAAAACUUUCAAAAGGUAUAAUCAAAUCUUAAAAUUUGUUGAGUUUACGCAAUUAAUUCCCCCAUUAACUCUAUCAAUUUAGCUAAUGAAUAAUGCUAACAUAAUGUUUUUAAUGUUUUCUUAUAGAGAGAAGUACACCCUAUAUUUGAGUACUAAAACUUCCAAAAGAUGUAAUUAAGUCCUAAAAUUUAUCAAAUUUGUGCAAUUAAUUCCUUCCGUUAACUCCAUCGAUUUCGCUAAUGAAAAAUAUUGAUGAAUUAUUUUUUAAUGUUUUCUCUCUCCUAAGUGAACCAAAAUUCUUUGACAAAAUCAAACAUGAUAGGAAUAUAAAAAGUUUUCAAGCAAAACAAAUCACAAAAAACUAUAAAACAAAACAAAACUCACAAACAAAAGAUCAGAUCUAUCAUUAUAUCAAUAAAUAAUUAGUAGCCGACCAUUGAAACCGUCAAUGAUAGGCACAUAUUGAGAUCUUCCUUUCUAGAAACUAUGGCUUUCAUCGUCAUACCAUCCAAAGACAACAACAUGGUGAACAACCACAAAUUAAACACCUCCAAGGAACUCCCAAAUCUAUAUUUAAUCGGGAGAAAAAAUCUCCGCACGAUCUAAAUAGAGAGAGGAGAACUUCUUCAAGCAGAUAUAUUCACCACAAUAAGCAAAGAAAAGCAACAACAAUGAACGAAAGAAGACAUCAAGCCAAGCGAAGAACGACUCCCAACAAUAAGUAAAGAAAAGCAACAACGAUGAACGAAAGAAGACAUCAAGCCAAGCGAAAAACGACUCCCAAAUUAGAUCAGGAGAGAAAAAUCAAAGCCUACAACCCCUAUCCCCAAGCUCGGAUGGAUGGUUAUCUAUUAGAGGACAUGAGCAAUAACUCCAAACAAUCGAUUAUUGCCAUAUCCAAAUCGACCCAUUAAGAGAAUAAUAUAAGCCAUUGAUAUUUUGAUGUGGAUUUUAUAUAAGUUAUUAAUCACGAAUGGAAUAUCCAUGAUUUCGUUAAAAAGAAUUAAGCACAAUUAAUUUAUUCGAUAUUCAUAGAGAGAAGGGAAAAAUAAUUAAUGAGAGGCAACGCGACACCAUAUCUCAUGGCAAUUUAGCAUAUAGAAGACUAUCUGAUACAUUAAACCAGAGCAAAACUUCAACUACAAAAUGCAUCCGCAAAUUCCCAGAAUUAUAAUUGUAGAAUACCCAAAACCGAGUCCAACGGAAUAUCAAAUGAAGAAAAACAGGAAUAUCUCUUCAAGCACUCUUAUCAGCCUUGGCAGCAGUUGCGGUGGCUUGUCCUCUGAGCCGACCAGUCCUCCAAGCGGCGAUGAGACCAACCUUCUGGCCGGGUGGCGCAUCACCUGACUGUGCUCGCGUGACCAAUGUGUUGGUGGUUACCUCCUCCGUGAGGAUGCUCAACUGGGUUCAUGGCCACACCACGCACCUUCGGCCAGCAGUUCCUCCACUCUGAACUUGUGCUAAGCAUUGCCAGCCUUGAGGAGGGGCAUCUCAGUUCUUCCUCCACCAGCAACCUGCCCGAUCAUUGCUCAGCAGCCACUUGGCACAAUUUUCUUUGAUCCGGAUGGAAGCUUGAUUCUUAAGUAACAUAAGACAUCAGUUCACUUUCACACAGCUCAAAAUUGUAGCAAACUCAGUUUGGCGCACUGGUGGAUAUGUUGCAGUAUAUCAAAAUAUGAACCAGCAAGUACAUUGUAGUUUCGUUAGUUCUGUUGCCAAUGUACCCACCGGAGCAAGAGCACACCGGAAUUCGUGUGCACAUAUCAUGUCAACCCAACUUUACAUUUCAGAGAACCAGAUCAAUUAACUUAUCUUUGCAUAAUUGUGGUCGUGAAAGACAUGUAAACAAAAUGAGCCACAAUAGUCGCAUAACUAGACCAACCGGCAGAUAUGAUGAAGACUGGAAGUUUCAGUCACAAAUACAAGAUAGAAACGGCAUCAAAUCAGCAUCAAGAAAGUCAUAUCAAAGCAUUCGAGCGGCCUGAUAUCAAAAGCCCCUUCAGAUAACUACUACGACAAAUUAAGCAAUUCAAAAAUCUAAUUCCUAUCCCAUAUGGGCACGUCGAACCUCUGUGAUAAUUACCAUAGAUUGCACCACAACAUGUUGCGCCAGAGCAAUACUGAGGCCACUCACUUAGCAGCCAUACAGUGAAGAAAUCAUAAACUUAAAGUAAUGCAAGCAUAAUCACAACGAAGCAAGGACAAACCAUGAUAUCAUAAACAAUAGUCAGGAAGGAUUAGUUGCACUUGCUAUCCGGGCAAAACUGCGAUCAUAAGUUUGGAUCUGCCACUCUCACUCAAAUCAUGAUAUCUUUUUAAUGGAGUGGCAUGGACUAUUCUCCGGUAAUUUAACUCCUAGCAACCACGGAUAACUCCACAAAACAUGCAUUUGAAAAAACAAAAGAGCUAGAUAGUGAUAGAAAUUACAAUCUGACAUCAAAGGUAGAGACACUAAAGCUCCAAGCUCCGUCUUCACAAGGGUAAAACUGCACGACAGAUUACACUAACAACCGAAUGUUUCAUAUCCGUUCAUUUAUCCAAUUCCAGCAACAUAACUUUUCUUCCAAAUCAAAUCAAAAACAAAAUGUUUCAGGCACAGGAAUAGAGUUAGAUUUAUCUAUAUUCCAGCUUCACGAAUUCGGCUAAAGUCCCGUAGAUUUCUAAGACGGAAGCAGUAUAGCAAGUAGACUCCAUCGAACGAGCAGAUGCGAGCAAUUAGACGAAACAGCGACGGUAAAGCUUCACAAAAGGCAAUCAUAAUAGGAGCUGAGAGUGGGAAAGAAUAACGAGCGCGAGGUCAGAUGGAACCAACCGAGAUCGCCGCCGCGCUUGGCGGAGCUGCAGUCGGAGAAGCGCGAGGCGAGGUCCUCGAACUUGGCCUUGCCGGCGACGAUGUCCUCCCUGAGGGCCUUGAGCUGCGAGACGGCGCUCUCGCGGGUGGUGCUGCGGAUGACCCUGCCCUCCAGAUCCUUCCACGAGGCCUUCCUCCGGGAGCCCUCGUGCUUGAUGAGGAUGUGCGAAGCGCGGACCUGGCUUUUCGCCCCCCUCCGCCCCCGCCGCCGACGACGACAUCUUGGCCUUCGCCCGGUGCUUGUCCCUGAGGCUGCCGGACUUGGCGGCGGCUGGAUCUGCCGAUGAGGUGGUUGUGGAGGACGGUCUCUUCCUCUUGCGAUCGGCGGACUCUAUUUUGGCAGGCUAAAAACGGCGGCGACCUCGUUCUGCUCCCCUCGCUGCGUUGAAGACUGAAGUUCGAGUGCGGUGCUGAGUUCGGUGACGAUGGAGAGAGUCGAGGCAGGGGGGAUGGUGGCUUUUAUAUGGUGAAUUUCUCAAUAUUUUUUUUCCUAUAUAUUAGAAAUGGACACGUCAUUGAAAGUAAUUAUCCUCUGCUAGCUUUUUCAAUCAACUAAUCUUUCGACCCAAAAAAAAAAAGUAUGAUUAAUCCAAUUUCAAAUAUUAGGCUCAUUUUAUUCAGCGAAAAAUAACUAAUUUAAAAAUCAUUUUUAAAAAAAUAAUUACUCAUCUCACUUAUAAAAAUGACAAUAUUUUCUGGUGUUCGGCUAAAACCUGAAAAUGUUUCGGAAAAUAUUUUUUAGUAUGCGAUAAGAAAAAUAUUUUCUAAAACUUCACUACUUAGGCAUGCAUCAUUUACCGACCUAUAAAUUUAUCAUAUAGAAUUUGCCUUUAAAUUCAAGCAAAUUUGCUUCAUAUUUUGUUCUGCCCCUAUGAGAAUCUUCCAGUUGAGUGGCAUGUUCUCCCCCUGCAUUUUUUGUGUUUUAAUAAAAUAAAAUAAAAAAGCAAAGCAUGUGGAGUUCUUUGCUUGUGCAAUGUACAACUGUAGGGUAAAAUAAAUAAAUAAAAAGAUAAGCAAGAGUGCAGAGUGCGGGCUUGAGAUCGACGAGCUCAAGAUUCGCCUAGCAACGGCCGACGACUAGCCAAAAAAGAAGAUGGGAAACAAAAAAAAAGAAAAUAAAUAGAAAGAAAAGAAAAUUAAAAAUAAUUCGAAUUAAAAAAGAAAAUGAAAAUUAAAAAAUAAUUUGAACAAAAAAAGAAAAUUAAAAUUAAAAAAUAAUUUGAACAAAAAAAGAAAAUAAGAAAAAGAAAGUGAAUGAGAAAGUGAGGAUAUGUAGAGGUGUAAGAUAAGAAAUAUCAAGUGAUGAAGAUGUUUUCCACUUUUCAAAUGUGGAAAAUAUUUUUCCUUUCUUACCUUUUACCAAAAAAAAUAAAUAUAUAUUUCCUUAAUUUAGAAGACUUUUUUUUUUUUAUGGAAAACAUUUUCCCUAAGGAAUUCAUUUUCCGUGAAAUGAACACCGGAAAAUCUGAAAAAUAUUUUGCCACAAAUUAUUUUCCGUAAAACGAACGGAGUCAUCACACCUCUAUCUAAUGGCUAAGCUUUUGAAACGAUCGGCAGUGACCUCAUGAAAAAAUCUUGCUUGUGCGUGAGAAGUGUGUACAAUUUUGCCUCAUGCUCACCGGUAACUUGUAGUCAUAUACAAUGAUCAAUCGACGCCAAAUCCUCAUUUUAGUUUCAUUUAGCCAGCCAGCGACGAUAUCCACUCGAAGCACUCUACUAGGCCCUAAAAACUAACAAAUCUCUUACAGUUGAAUGUACACAGUAUGUCUAGUUGUCUACAGAGUCUACACUUCAGCAGGUCCAACCGUUCCAACUACUACAAAAUGAGUGCGGGCAUCACCUUCAAUGUCGCCACCGCAUUCACUUCGAUUCUACCAUUAGCCUCUGCAGUUUUCAUCAUUAGACGGGGGGAGAGAGAGAGAGAGAGAGAGAGAAACAAGGCCUAGUAAUAGUGAACAUGAUCGGCAGGACGAUCUUCUUGCCAGAAGUGAAACAAGAAAACUUACAUGGAAUUUGAUAAACAUAUUGCAGGCAUCAAAAGAUGGUAACAUCUACAGGGCAAUUACAGUUGCAUGUCUAUCAAUAUUUAUCAUCGAUUGGUAUAAACAUCAACAACUCCGAAUUGGAUCAGUUUCUCCUCAACAAAUAAGUGCUUGGGCCAAAAAAAUCCUCCCUAAUGGAGAGAUAGUUGGAGAGGUGACAAAACCCUAUACUUUUCAUUACAAAACCAAUAAACCGGAAAAGAAUGGAUUGUUUUGUGAAAGAAUUUUUGGUCCUAUAAAAAGUGGAAUUUGUGCUUGUGGAAAUUAUCGAGUAAUUGGAGAUGAAAAAGAGGACCCGAAAUUUUGUGAACAAUGCGGAGUAGAAUUUGUUGAUUCUCGGAUACGAAGAUAUUGGGAUACAUCAAAUUAGCAUGUCAGUAACCCAUGUGUGGUAUUUGAAACGUCUUCCUAGUUAUAUCGUGAAUAUUUUAGAUAAACCUCUUAAAGAAUUAGAAGGGCUAGUAUAUUGCGAUGUGUGAUUUGAUCAAAAUUCUGAUUUUACAUAUUCGAAAUAAGAAACUGUCAUCCCAGUCAACUGAAUUGUGAUGCCCCAGAUCUGACAUGUCUUGUGAAAGGAGUGAUAUGAAGCUUAGAAUUAUGGGUGUAUAAAAUAUUCCAAGGGGAUUGGUCUAUGGUCGAUUCAGUAAAAAAGAAAUAGUAUUUUUAGUUGGACCUCGUGAAAAAAAGGCUUCUUUAUUUGUGAAAUUAAUCAUUAAUUUCUCUUAGAAGGAAAUAAAAUUAUGUUUAUGUUCAACUAGCAAAUAUGUCAUGGUUGCAGGAGUCUAUCCAUCGCAUAUAGGCUUUAAGGACAUCGUAGCAUAACCAUCGAGGUGAUGUUAGGACCUAAAAAAUCGAAUGGAAGGAUACAUAGACAAGUAAAUCCCUUAUAAAACCCUUAAAGGGAUUGUCAUUCAAAGGGAAGUAGACUACUCAAGAAUUUCACAUUUCAUUUAUGUAGAAUUGAAUAAAGAAUUCUAAAAAUCUAAAUAAAACAAAAAUAAGAAUGAAUCAAUGAAAUAUUGCUUGGUCUUCACUGCUAACUUGAGUAAGGAGUAGAUUUUUGGAGGUUUUUCGAGAAUUUGAAAGCGAAACAACCCCCCCCCCCCCCCCCCGCUUUUUUUAUUUGGUGUAACUACUUGAGCCGGAUGAAAGGAAACUUUCAUGUCCGAUUUUGAGGGGGGGAGAUCCUAUAGGAUCCUAUCCCAAUUUUUCUUUUGCUAGGCCCGUAGCUAAAAAACCUACUUUCUUACGAUUACGAGGGUUAUUCGAAUAUGAAAUCCAAUCUAAUAUCUCCCAACAUCCCAAAACUAGCCGUUACCCCACCAGUAGUAGGAGAUGUAAGGAUUGAUAUAUAGAAUAACUUUUUAUGGGAUUGAUAAUCAUAUAAAGCCGGAGAUAUUUUAGCCAUUUGCAUCAAGCUCAAGCUUCCUUCUUGCAUACGUGCUCCUCCGGAAGCACACACUAGAAUCAGAGGUAAAAAUUUAUUGGUAGCAUACUCGAUCAAACGGGUGAUCGAUGCAACAAGUGGUAAACUUUAAUCGUACUUUUUACCAACUAAUCAACAGUAAAUUACAUUAGUAGGAAUAUAAGCCGAAACAUCUCCCGACUAAGUCUCCACUAUUGGUAAGGCAAUCAUACUUCCUUCACCUAAAAAAGAACUUAAUAAAGGAUCCAUGGAUAAAUAUAGACAAGCGUAUUUCCAAUCGUAACUAAAUCUUUCAUUUUUUCUUUUUAAAUUGGAAGUAUUGAUCCAAUUCAAAAAAAAAAAAAAUUAUGUUUCCCAAUUAAAUAAUCCAAUUUUCCAUUUUUAAUUGACCCUUGGAUACAAAUCACGAGAAUGUAUAUUUUUCCUCGAAUCCUUCGUUGAGAGGUAAAGGAUUAAAUCCUUUUAAGAAAUAAAGUUUUUCUUCGGAAUAUGAAUCAAAUCAAAUCUUGUUUCCUCUCAAAAAGUUGGAUUUACAGCUCCUAGCGCAGAAUGGACUGAUGAAUUUGUUGCCAUCUGAAACGAUUGAUAUAUUGUUUAAUCUAGGAACUAAACAUUUCUCAAGAGAGGCCAACUUUUUCUGAUGAUAUCACCAAUCUUCGCAUCAAUCUGCUUCUGAAUGUGAGGUGGGCAAAGCUCACCUGCAAAACUAUUCAAUUUUGCAGCCAAACUUGAUUUCUGAAGU